CCUUGCUCACCUCUGGCCUGGAACAAUGGAGUUGGCCAUCUAUGGACUGAGACCUCUGAAACCGUGAGUCCCAAAUAAAAUAUUCCUUCUCUACAUUGCUCUUGUCAGGUUUUUUAGUUGCACCAAUGAAAAAGCUGACUCCAAUAGUAGCAUAAUAUUUUUAAGGCACAUCCAUGUGGUAGCACAUUAUAUUUCAUUCCCUUGAUGGCCAAAUAAUGACGUAGUGUAUGGAUAGAACUUUUUUGAAUCUAUUCAACAACUGGUGGAUGUUGGGUUGUGCCUGCUUUGGGGCUGUUAGGAAUGAUGUUGCUCUGAACAUUUCUGUGUAAGUUUUUACGUGGACACGUGUAUUUAUUCCCCUUGAGUAUCUACCCAAACCUGAAGACCCUGGGUCCUGUGGUGACUCUACAUUUAACUAUUUGAAGGCCUGCCAGACUGCUUCCAGCUGCACCAUUUUACUUUCCCACUGGUGAUCUAGGAGAGGUCUCAUUUCUCCAUGGCUUAAUACUUGUUAUUGUCCACUUUUGGAUAUCAGCCAUCCUAAUGGAUAUGGAACCUCACUGUGGUUCUACUUCACAUUUCUCUGAUCAUUAGAGUGAACAUUUUUACCUACACUUUUUGCUUUCAUUUAAUAAUAUCAUAUCAAAAUUAAUUUGAUAAAAUGAAAUAGAAAUGGGGGUGAGAGUCCCAGGUUUACUACCCUCUUGGACCGUUGACCCUCAUGAGCCCUUGAUGCAAGUGUCUCGGCCUGAGCCCACCAUUCUGUCAUGGGUAAAUCAGGCCUCUGCUUCCUGAGGCAGCAACUUCCUCAGCCUAUGAGGACGACAUUGGCUCUUCUGCACAGCAGUCAUUAUCCAGAGCACCUGUGGUGGCCUUUCCCAUGGCCCCUUUGCUGGCAUUGGAUGAUCCCUCUCCUUACUGCUCCCCAGGCCACCCAAGAUGCUGGUACCUGAGAAAACCCUCCAUUUCUGGCCCUCAACCCAAUAUAGGAAGCAACUGGAGGGAGGGAUACAGGGACAUUUCCUAACAUGCCAGUGGCCAGGAGAAGCUUGAGGGGAUGCUGCUUCUGGGAGGGUACUCUUGGCUGGUGAAAGGAGUUUGUUCCCAUACAGAUUCAUAUUCAGGACCCCCAGAGAGCUGGGACACCCUGUCAUCCUAUCCUGCUGCUGGAUAUCCGGCUGGGGCAGGCAGGGGCCACUAGCAGCACAGUUGCCUUGGGGAGAAGACAGCCUGAUUAGGGAGAGAUCACCAAGGCUCAGUGUGUUAGGCAGGUUUUUUUUAGUGACCAAAAUACCAGAUAGGAUCAACUUAGAGGAGGGAAAGUUCAUUUUGGCUUAUAAUUUCAGAGGUUCAGUCCACAGCGGGUGACUCCACUGCUCUGGGCCCAAGACGAGGCAGCAGGCGUAUCAUGGCAGAAGCGCAUGGUGGAGAGAAUCUUCCAGGUCAUGCCCCCAGUGACCCAUCUCCUCAAGUCACCAUCCCUCACACACACCCAUAGUUACCACCCAGUCAGGGCAUUCAAACUCGGAGGGACUGAUUAGGUUAUAGCUCUCAUAAUCUAAUUAUUUCACCUCUGAAUAUCCCUGCAUCAAUGCAGGAGCUUUUGGGAGACACUUUAUGUCCAAACCAUAGCACUUGGGGAAUAGCACUACCAAGCAGCUUCCGUCAGGUAUCGCCAGGUAGGGAAGAGUCAUCAAGAUGCCACUUAAAUACCUGUUGGCUCUGGAAAGUCCAGAAGAAAAUCCAGAACCGAAUGAAGCAAUAAAUGACUAGCAGGACCCAAUAAAGCAUGGCACCACCAGGAUGGGGGGUGGGGUGAGCUUCCUGAAGAGAGAUGCUAAUUACGUGACUUGUGACCAGAGUCAGGGACUUGAAGAGGAGGACUCCCCCUCUCCUGCCACGUGGAAGGAAUUGGCAGAGCAACCUCAACACAGUCUCAGCCCCCAGGCUGGGUGCCAAGCAGGGCCACUCCAUUGAACUCUCUGCCAGCCAAGAAUGUAACCCGACAUGCCUCGGGAAGGUAACUCUGACACUGUCUUGGAUAACAAAAUCGUAGAAUCAUGCAUCCAAACGUUAACGAGAAUCAAACACACAAUUUUAACCUUAUUAAACAUGUGCAUUGGGUCUUGUCAGUGUUUGUUGUGUUUAAGAUAAUCCAGCUCAUUAGACUCAUCAGGCCAGCUUUUUACUGAAAUUUUAAAGUUGUAAUUGAGUAAUUAGACUUGAGAUUUUUAACUUGAAAUCUAAGUCUUAUAAAAUAUUGGGACACUAAGAGAACUUGUUAUAAUAUUUUAAUGUGUUAGAUUUAUAACUAAUACUUAAGGGUUUUCUUUUCUCCUCCUUUGCUUUAUUCCUUGUUAUUGAGAUCAGUGGAGGACUUUUUUUAAAAGCAAAUUAAAAUUAAAUGUACAAAUGUAGUGUUUUUGUUCGUUUAUUUUUUUGAUAUUGGGCAUUAGACCCAGGAGCACUUACCCACUGAGCCCCUCUCCUAGUUUUAAUUUUGAGACAGGGUCUCACUAAGUUGUUUAGGGCUUUGCAAAACUGCUGAUACUGGCCUCAAACUUGUAAUCCUCCUGCCUCAGCCUCCCAUUGCUGGGAUUACAGGCAAGUGCCACGCCUCCUGGUUUCUAUGCUUCUUUAUAAAAUAAGUACAUUAGUAAAUUGAAUUUAAAAGCUAAAGAAAGAACUAGAACUUUUACAUUUGUAACUUUAAUGAAUAUCAACUUACAGAAUUUUAAAUACUAAAUAAAAAGUUUUGAAUUGUAUGCACAAAAUGUGCCCUUUGAGGAUCUCAACAUCUCCUGUUGAAUGGGUGUGGAAUUCGAGGCUCGAGUGGGGGUUUAGGGAAUUCUGUUCACUGCUCUGGCAGGCGGGGUUUAGCCCUGCCGUCCAGCCAGGGCUGUUUCGCCGUUGGCACUGGCAUAUAGCCAUCAGUCCAUCUGGCUGUGUCUUCAGUCUAUCUGCACCACAGCCAAAGAGGUCAUUUAAAAAUGCCACCAACCUGUUCCCAUCACUCAGAAUCACCACCCUCUGCAUACUGGCUCUGACCACCUGAAUUUGCUGCCCUCUCGGGGGCAGAUCUGUCACUGCCUCGGGUUCCUCACCACCAUUUAGCCUCCUUGGCCUGUUUGUCCCUGGAAUGACUGGGGGGCUCUGGUCUAGAGACUGCACUGGCUGCUCCCUCCCAGUGGGCACUCCUUCCUACCUCUCCCUGCCAGUUCCUUCUUGCCUUUCCUCUCUUCUCAGAGGCCCCUGACUCCCCAGUCUGAAGGAGCCCCUGUUGCCCCUUGAAACUUUAUCCUCUUUUCCUUCUCCCCUCGCUGACUGCCAUUCUGUUAUAUUUAUGGUGUUUGUUGGGUGUCGGUUGUCUUCUCCAUCAAAAUGCUCAGAGCACAAAAAGCCUCCUUUGUGUCUGAGACACGUGAAUACUCUAGUUGGUGUGCAAUAGAUAUUUAUUGAGCAUGGGAAUGAAAAAGGAACACGUGGGAAGUAUCACUGUACAGGUGAGGAAACAAGCUCGCAGGAUCACUUGGCCAGUGUUGCUCAGCUCCUUAUGAGCAGGGCUGCAUUCUCUGACUCAUGUCACCUAUGUACCUUAACCUACGGCAGGGGCUGGGGAGGUGGGCAGAGAACACUUUCAGGUGAGUGAUGGAUGAGCCCUUGUUGUGGUUAGAAUGUUUGUCCUCCAGAAUACAUGUGAUGGAAGUUCAUAUGUUAAUGAUAUUUGAAGGUGAGGUCUUCGGGAGAUGGUUAGGAUUAGAUGAGGUCAUGAGAGUGGGGUUCCCAUGAUGGCAUUGGUGGCUAUGUAAGAAGAGGAAGAAAGAUUCAAGCUCUCAUGCUUGCUCUGUCUUACCAUGUGAUGCACUCCACCAUGUCAUGAUGCAGCAAGAAAGCCCUCACCAGAUGCCAUGCCAUGCUCUUGGAUUUUAUAACCUCCAGAAACAUAAGUCAAAUAAACUUCUAUUCUUUACUGGUUACCCAAUCUCAGAUAUUUUGUUAUAGGACAGAAAGUGUAGUAAGAUAGCCUUCAAGGGAUGGAUGGAGGACUUUGUCAGGGAGAUGACAAGGACACAAGGUACUACUUCAAAGGAAAAGACACAAAGACCCAGGAGAUGCAGAGAGUUGGAUGGAGAGGAAGUACCGAUGUCUGUGGGAUUCAGAAGCAAAGGGCAUACCUGAUACAGAAGCCAUACAUCAUCUGAUGGCUGGUUUAGUUGGACAUGGGGACAAAGAAAGGGUGGGUGAGAUGGCAGGGCCCAGUAGGAACUUGGAAGGCUCUGCCCUGGGAUUUGGGGAUAGGGUUAAGUAGCUCCAGGAGCUUUUUGCACCUGUGUGAUGUGGCUCACAUUUUCAGCAUGGUUAGCUGGAUAGAGGAUUGGGUUGGCCAUGAAAUCAAAUCCUAUCAGCACUGAUGUGAACAGAGGCAGUGGAAGGAGGGUCAGAGUACCCAGGCAGGUGACCUCUUGGAGUGUAGGUCUGUGUACCUUGCUAUGAAAUUCAUCCUGACCUCUGCAUGGUCUUUCUGUUCCGAAUGUCUCUGGUGAGCUGAGGUUGCAGAGUGCCCUAUUCUGUCCUUGCUGAGAAGCUUGGAACUGCCUUUGAAGAAAGGAGACCAGCAUAGAGAUAGACCCGUGACCUCCAGCCUGGAUGAAAGAUAAGUUUUUAUAGGGCAGGGGCUUCCAGCCUGUUAAGCCAAGGAGGGGCUUUGACUCCACACCACUCACACACCCAAAUCCUACCACUGAUGAGAGAGACUUUUAGACAGAUUAGGAGAUCCAGGAGUCACAGAUGUUUGUGGUUCACAGACAAAAGGAAUUGAUGGGGAGCUCUGGAGCAGCUUUUGAGUGGAGCUGCUGAACUCGGAAGGAAGAGAAUUGUGGGAUUCAAUGGUGGGGCUCAGGUUUGAGGGUUGACAGAGGGAAGCUUGAAAGCAUGAGGUCUCACACCGUGACUGGCAUCAGAAUCUUCUGCAGAGCUUGUUAAACACAGAGUUUCUAAUUCAGGGAGUCAGGGAAGGGCCUGUGCUUACCAGCAGAUUCUCAGGGAGUGCUACGGCUGCUGGUCCUGAUAAUACCCUGAAAAUCAGCAUUAUAAACCGAGGCUGUGCCCAUUCUUUUUAUUUCUGAAAAAAUAAAGCAAUGAGAGGAGAUGGGCAAGUCCAUUUAAGCCUGUUGGGUCCAAUAUUGGGGAACUUGAUGUGCCUCCUCUUUGAAAAAUUUACCACGUGGUGAAGCAGGUAGGCCUGUAAUCCUAGACACUCCAGAGGCUGAGGCAGGUUGGAGGCCAGCCUCUGUAACUUAGCAAAAACUUUAUCUCAAAAUAAAAAAAAUAAAAGGGCUGGGGAAUGUAGCUCAGUGAUAGAUCAACCCUGAACUCAAUCCCCAAUGCUGCAAAAGCAAACACAUAAAAUAAAAAAUAAAAAUAAAAAUGAACCCAAAUCUGGUGUAGUGGUGUGGGAGACGCAAGGAUUUUAGGGAAGGGAUCUGGAGAUUAUUUCCUGGUGGCCCCCAAGGUAGAGGUCUUUUGUCUUGUCUGUCUUGUCAUGUCUUUGGCUCUGUCCCAGCCUGGUGGAUCCUCCCUGAACAAAGAAUGAGUCCUUAUUCCUGUCCUCCAGGCUUCCCAGCCCAAGAGGGACCAGGCUGUGAGGAGGGUUCUGGGAUCUGGAGAAUGAGGCUGGGAGUGUGAUAUGGGGCGCUCAGAGAGGAAGGGGACUAGGUGGCGCUGUGUGUCAGGCCUUGUAUAUAGAGACGGGCCAAUGAGGGACUACAGGGCUGAAGAGGAGACUGGCUGGGCAAGAAAGGUCUCCGCGUGCAAGCUUUGGGCCCAACUUGGAGAAGUGGGUGGCGCAGGGCCCUCUCUCUGUCCCCACAAGUCCAGGUGGCACACUCCCUUCCCCAAUACAGGUUUAUCUUCUGACACUGACACAGAAUCCCAGAGAUCAUUUCCCAUGGGGCUUGAAAUUGACCAGGGCAAGUGGCAGAGGGUGGGUGAGAGCAUGCCAGGUCCAGGGCCCUCAAGAGCGUGGCCGGGCCUGGCAGGCUCCCGGGCACUCCGCCCAGCCUGAGCAGCCAGGCUAAUUACCCUACCCUAAAAGCCCUGCAGGAGCAGCGGACCGCGCCCACCCACCCGCUGCGUGCUCCAGGCCCCGCCCACAACUCGCUGGCACUCUUAGCUCCCCAGUGACUUUGCGGCAGAGGCUGCCAGCCAAGAGGCCUAGCAGCCUUGGAGAAGGCGGAGCCAGUAGCCUUCGGAGUCAUCUGACCUUGAGGGAAGGUCGCUGGGACUCCUUGGUUCUCCACGUGCCACGGGUUUGUCCGUACUGGGAGGUCUCUGCUCUGGCUUACCCUUUGAUUUUCGGGCUCUCAUGGCUGCUAGCGAGUCGCUUAACAUCCUUGGUCUCAGCCUCCCCACGUAUAAAACGAGAAUGGAUUUGUUUCCAGGUCUAAAUGAGCUAAUGUGUGUACGAUGUAAAGCUUAUCUUAUUAGUUAUAUCACUAACACCAUCAUCAUUAUAAUUGCCGAUCUUAUCCAGUGGCCAGCAGUUCCUGUCUGGCACAUCAUAAAUGUCAGAGGGAUGAACUUGACAGAUCUUUACAGAUGAGAAAGUGUGUGUGUGUGUGUGGGGGGGAGCGAGGUUUGGGGGUGGCAUCUGCAAACUUCUCAGAUCUUUAAGGGAUCACCUCCUCCCAUCGUUUCUUCCAGCAUCCCCCCCCCACACACCAUUCAGCCUGAGGAUCUUUGGCGAGCUCACCUCCCAAGGAAAACAUCACCUUGGAGCUGCUCCCUUGACCGACCCCGACUUUAUCUUAUGUAUUACGCAGUACUGGGGAGCCCAGGAGCCCAUAAUUAACCUAAUAAGGUGUCUGCUGCUCACACAUUGGUGCUCAGGCUCUGCUCCAAUGGCUACCUAGUAAUUUGCCUGAUCUCUGGGAUAAGACCUUUGCCUGGACAGGUUCCCACCACAAAGCACCCCAUGUUCCAGGUGGAGCCCGUAAUUGAUGUUUUCAUGCUCUCCACUCACUCCCCUACUGCCCUUAGUCCUCUUGAGCCCAGUCCUCAGAGAUGAGGCCAUUGCACCAAGGUCACAUAUCAAGCAUCAGAGGGACAAGGCUACUCAGGGGGAGAGCAGAAACAAUGUGGGUUGUACUAAGCGACAUUAGAUGGCACCGGGGAAGAAGGCAACCAAACCAAGCCAGCUGCUGGCAUUUGGGGACGCAAUGAGGAAGUUGUUCUACAGCCAACCCAGCAGCCAGCAGCCAGGCUCCCAUCCAGCUUCUGUUCCAGGAACCUGUUGGGUGCUGCUGCUUCCCACCCCAGGGUUCUCUACCUGGAACCAGGUCAUGCUGACUUCUGAGCUCCACAGGGAAAGAGCCACCCUCUCAUACUAGAGCUCCGAGUACUACGCUGCUACCAAGUUCUUCCAAGCCACCUUUUUCUUGAGCCAUAGUUACCAGGGGUUGACUGAAAAAGAAGCCUAGGCCCUGGAGGAACCAAGCAGGACGCCAAGGCUAUCAGAGCCUAGAAGAAGCAAAAGGAGUCCACCUCAUUGCAGCGCCCCUCCCCCACCCCCCACUGCUGCCACAGGCGCCCAGUGGGCGGGCAGAACCCGCAGCCAGGCCCGGAAGCGCUGGGCAAGCCCUGCGGUCGUCUGAGCGCUCGCCCACGCAGCAGCUCCCUUUGAUCAGCUCUGCUGGGCAGGUUGCAUCAUCAGGUAGGUUUUCCUGGAGACUAUGCCCAAGGAGCUUAGCCAUACCCUGGCCAGAGGAUCCUGUGUGUCCCAGGCAGAGUGUGAGCCCCUCACCCUGCCUUCGUAGAUAGGGCGGUACUGGCUGCCCUGGAGGAGGUACAGGCUGGGCAGAGAGGUGGAGCAGAGCUCUCAGAGGGCCAUGGUGCCCAACCCCCCUCCAGGGGACCUGGACUCCUUUUGAAAACAAGCACCCCCUCCCCCGCAGAUGGGGGUUGGUAGCUGCUUCGCUGACUUUUCUGCACUCAGCCUGCCAAACCGCCACAUAAUCCCCUUGGGUUCCCAGAGCCAUCCUGCCCACACAGGUGCUAAGGCCAGCCCUGGGGGAUUCCUUGACACCCACUGCUCCAGGUCCAGGCCUGUCCCCAGAUGAGGUCCAGGGGUGCUGAAACCCUCCCUAACCUCCUUCCACCGCUGGGUACAGGAUAAUGGGUGGGGUCUGAGUCAGAGCUAGCUCACCUUGGGUGGGUAGGUGUGGCAGGGUGGGGUCUCUGUGGGGCAGGGGAACACCAGACACGGGGAGGGAGGGUUCCAUGGUUUAAGCGCUGUUUGUGCACAGAGCAUUUAUUCUUCCUGGUCUGCCAGGGUGGGCCACAAGGAGGGCUAAGAAGCCAGCUGUGAGCUUCGGAUCUGCCACACUAGAUUCUAAGCUUCUACCCCUUGUUCUCUGGAUGAUCCUUCAAAGUUCCCGCUGUCUCUUGUGAACCUGGCCUCUGUCCCUCAAUCAGAGGUUUCCCUCUGUGUUGCCCACCAAAAGGGAGACUCACACCCCAGGCUGCCAUUAGUGCUGGUUGGACACACAGGAGCAGAAGGCACAUGGUCUAGGGUGAAGGGAGGCUGGGGCCUCCCCACCCAGUUCUCACAGCUAGCUGGGUCCUACUCUCUCAUUCUAUCCCCACUCUCCUCUUCCUCUACCUGGACUUCAUCGGUGAGGAUCUUACAUUUCCACUUCAUCGCGUUUCCAGGAACAGAUGAGAACAGAGCCCUGCCUUCACUUUCAUCCUUGUAUUUUAAAUGAGGAGGAACAAUAAAUACAGAGUGGGCAUUCCUUAUCUGAAAUGUCUGGGACCAGAAGUGCUUUGGAUUUGGGAAUAUUUGCAUGUAGACAAUGAGAUAUUGUGGGGAUGGCACCCAAGUCAAAACAGGAAACUCAUUUGUGUUUCAUAUGUCUGAAUGUAAUUUUAUACAAUAUUUUAAAUAAUUUUGUGCAUGAAACAAAGUUUCUGGAUGUGGAAUUUUCCAUUUAUAGGUCUCUGAUGGCCAAAAAGUAUUGAAUCUGGGGUUUUUGGAUUAAGGAUGCUCAAAUUGUACUAAGUAUGUGGAUCAGGUAGCAACCAUGAUAAAUAGAAAUCAGAGACAAAGAGGAGACCAUAAAGAGAGGGGGUAGUGCAUAGAUAGGUAAAUUGAGGGUGUCUCUUUGAGCAGGUGACUUUUAAAUAAAGACCUGAAAAAAAAAAUGAUUUAGUGAGACUUGCAAAGUGUUUUCCAGGCAGAGAGAACUCAGACACUAGGUUGUUCUCUGAGAGGGAAGUGUCUGGUAUGGUGGGGACAGCAGAAGGCCAGGGGCUUGAGCUGAGGGGUUAGGAAGAGGGACCAGAGGAGGUUAGAGAUGAGAGUGAGGCACAUUCUGCAGGGAAAUGGGAAGCCCCUGAGGGUUCUAGCAGAGGGGUGACAGGUUCCAAGAUGGGUUUUAAUUGGAUUAUUCUGCAGCAUGGAAAAUGGGGUGAGGAUGGGAGUGGUGUGAAAGUAGGAAGCCAGGCUAAGGGUAGAUCCAGGAGAGAGGUGAGGGGUAUCCUAGCCUAGGAUGGAUGGUAUAGGGUGAGAGCAGUUGGAUGUCCACUGCUCUCUGAAGACUGCCAGGCUGGGUAUGAUUGAUGUGCUGGGGUGGGGAGAUAUAAAGGGAAGAUGAGUUGACUCUGAGAUAUGGGCUUGAGCACCCACCAGGGGACCUUCUGAGGAAGCACUAAGUCCCCAUGGAUAUAUAAGAGAACUGUCUUCUAGCUUGCAAAAUUAUGCUCUCCUUAUUAAAGCACUGCCCAUUCCUUGGGUCUGAUGCCCCCUGUUGGGUGAUGUGUUCAAGCAAGCCUGAGUCAGGGUGGGGCAUGGGUGGGAAGGGGUGAAGGAGGUGAUGGGUCUCCUGCUCUGAGUUGGGAGGAAUUGAGCAUACUUCUAGAACUUGAACUGUACCCUCUAGACACAGGGGCAUUGGCUUGGUGUAAAAGCCUCUGCUAGGGAGAAGGGACCAGUUCUGAAUGGGUGCCAUCUUGUGUGUGGGGUGGGAUGGGCCUUUCCCAUGGGAAUUUGAUCCUAGUAACUCAGUGAGAAAAAGACUAUAUCGUGCCCAUUCUAUAAGGCUCAGAGAUGGAGAGCUUGGCCCAGCCAUACCACUGCAGACAUCUGCAUGCAGUGAUCUGGCUGCCACCUAGCCUCCCCACGGCCAGCUUGAGCUUCCUCACAGCAUAGGAAUAUCCCAAGAGAACCAGGGAGAAACUCUUCCACAUUGUGUUCUAGCCUCAGAAGUCACAGAGGGUCACUGAUCCCUAAAUGGCACACCUGCCUACAUUCAAGAGGAGGGAAACUGGCCCUCCUCUCUGAGCAGGACUGUCAAAGUCUCCUUGUAAGAAGAGCACUUUGGUAAGAAUUGUAUUGCUGUCGACUUCAGAAAAUAUAAUACACCCCAGAGGAGAAGUGGCCUAUGGGUGGAUGAAUGGUACUGAUGCCCACCCCAGCAGGCUGUGAGCCUAAGGCACAGGUUCAACUCGUAGUGCUCUUGUUCCCCAGCCUCUUGACCCUGGGUGGGUCCUUGUGCCCUCUGAAGGUGACCCCUCUAGGGGAGCCUACCCUGCCAGCCUCUGAAAGGAGGAUGAGGAGUGGAUGUUGGGAGAUGCUCUCCAGCUGGGGACCCAUGUCACUGAGGCACACUGGGGUAAGGGGGAUGAAACUGGUGCGCUCAGGAUGCCUCAGCUGCUAUGGUGACAAGGCUGGGCUGAGACUUCAAGCCAAAGUUUCCAGGUAGUCCCAGGUGACCAAGGCCCAGAAAGGCAGUUUCAGUUGGGGAGAGUGAUGGCUUCAUGUGGAGAAGACACUCAGGAAGUCUGUUGAGCUCCAGUGUCCCCAUCUGAAGCGGGACUCCGUGGUCACAUCCUGCCACAUUGUCAGCAGGCAUUGGUCUCCAGGGCUGCCAUACUGUCCCAACUGCCAGGGAUGAAGGAGCUGUCUCCUGGCAGCAGCUGCCACACAAAGCCCAGGGUGGAGCUCAGGGAGGCUGGCCCAGGGUUCACAGCUUGUCACCAAACACGUAUUUCUGCAGCUCAUUAGUCUGGAAUUCUUUCUAUUCCAGCAGGCCCUCCCCUGGGAUGUGUAGACUGUUCUGGCUCAGCCAACAGCAGUAAAUGGGCCUUAUCAAAACACAAAAUGCUAAAAUGUGGGAAAAAAUACUUUAAAAAUGUUUACAUGGGAGGGACAGGCAAGGGUAUUGUUGAACUGUUUUCUUCUUUCAUAAGCAGCUGGGCCAGCUGAACUGAAGCUCAGGGCCAAGACCCUGGGGACCCAGCAGGAAGAACGGAUGAGCGAGGGGCAGGCUUCACAAAGACCUGGGGGAAACAACUUAUUUUCCAUUUGCUUUCUCUUUGUCACUCUGUGGCGGAUUCAAACCGACAGUCUUCACUCCCACAAUUUUGACUGUGGAUAUGGUCACUGAUUAUCCCGAUCCUUUAGUGUCUUUUCUACUCUGAACCAAUUUAGGGAAAGACCUUUUGCUCAGGUCUGGGUAACAUGGAGUGAUGUAUUUGGAACCAAAGGCUACAGUAACACUGGGUGGAUGGCAAGUAUUCAUGAGCAUGGUUCCAGAAUUCCUAUCUCUAGACUAGAAGAAGAAAAAUCACAAAGGGGAUAUGGCACCUGUCAGGACCUCCAGCAUACAUAUUCUCUUCCUUAAUAAUUUAACCUUUAGUUCUAAGCUUGGCACAUGACUCUCUGGACCAAAUCUGGCUAACUGAGUGGAGUGGGGGUGGUGAGUGCAGGUGUCAUGAAGCAGCUUCCAUGCCAGAAUGUAACAUUAAAAGGAAUUUGUGAGCCCUUCCUCCCUUUUUCUACUUCUGCUAUCUGAAAUGUGAAUAUGAUAGUUGGAGCUGCAGCAGUCAUCUUGGGCCAUGAGGUGAUCUUGGAGAUGGAAGCCAUGUAAGCUAACUCCAUGUAAUUGGAGCCUGAGUCCCUGACAUGGUGUAGCCUCCAAAAUUGGACUUUCUACCUCCCACAUUGAGUAAACUGCUGCCUUGUUUACACCACUAUUGUGUUAGGGUUUCUUUAACCCAGAGCCAAAGAUAACCCUCUCUCAGAGAGUUUACAGUCAAUUAUGUUUCUCAUUCAAAAAGUUAGCCAGUGGUUAUAGGUCAUGUUGGGCUGGAGCAUCAUAGCUGAAUGAAGACAAUCAAUUUGUGGGACUGCUCUGUCCUUGUCAGGGAAGAGGACUCCUCCCUCAAACAGACAUGUCACCAUGAGUAUGGUGUUGACUGAGUGUGUCAGGGACAUACAGACAGAUUGGAGGAUUUCCCCAGCCUAGACAUGUGUAAGGAAGACAGAAUACCCCGUUGUACUUCCUUCCCACUUCAGCUCCCCUAGAAAUAGCUCAGUAACAUAAUUGCAGGGAGAAGCAACAGAGAGUAUGAGGCACAGGUGGAGUCCCUGUGGGUCUUGGCUUUCAUGGACUUUGAGAAAGUAAAAAGACUGGUCUGCCAUGCAAGUUGACACCCCAAAGCAGAGGUGACUGCAAACCAGCAAAUUAGCAGAAGAGAUUGUAUGUGGCAGGGAAGUGGGUCCUUGGAAAGAGAUGUUACCCUCCUUACACACCUGGAGGGACUGAAAGCUCAGGGCCCAUAGUUUGAGAAGAGAAGUGGGCCAGGAGAUAGGAAGAGUGAGUUCUUUGCUCACCUCUAAACCCAGCUCCACUGUGCCUGAGAGAGGAUCUUGGCAUGGUGUUUGCACCAGGACAAAACCAACGAUGUGCUUAUGCUAUCAACUGGAAGUUAAUCUCUCCCCCAGACUCAUCUGUUGAUACCCAACCCCCAAGGUAUUAGGAGAUGGGCCUACAAGAGGUGAUUAGGCCAUGAGGGUGGAUCAUUGGGAUUAGUGCCCUAGAGAUCUUCCUCUUCCUUUCCACUUUAUGAGGACACAGCAAGCAGAGUGCCAUCUAUGGAUGGAGGAGAGCCCUCAUCAGACACUGAAUCUGCUAUCAUUUUGAUCUUGGAUUUCCUAGCCUCCAAAACUGAGAGGAAUAGAUUUCAAUUGUUUCUAAGCCAUACAGUAUGAUAUUGUGUUAUAACAGAACAAACUGAGGCAUUUUGCUAAGAAACUAAGGUGAAGUUGGGAGGAGGGUUAGUAUCCACUAGAGUAAAAGCCCUCACUGAUUUGUUAUUUUAAUGGAGACAAGGGAGCUUGGUACCCUCUAGUGAAGGCUGUCAGUUACUAUAACUUACCCCUACCUGGAGAACUCAACCUAGACUUCCCAGGAAGGGGAGAGGCCUGCUGAGUAAAGGGAAAUGGGAAACAUGAAGGGAAUCCUUGCCAGCUAUUGAUAGGCAACAGUUUUGUCUUUCAUACGUGUAUACAAACAGAUGAGCAGAUUUAACACUGCCCCUGGAAGAAAUUGAUUGGAAAAGCAGUGAAUAGAAGCUAAGAGUAAAAAUGAACACCUGAGACAUUUGAGGAGACAUUGCAUUCACAAAGCAAGAACAGAAACCUAUAAAAAAGGAAAAGUCAGGGAAUAAUGAAAAGUUGAGAUAUUAAAAAUAUGACUGUCAAAACUUGUUAAAAUCAGGAAAAAGUUGGAAAAUAUAAUUGAAGUAACUCCCUAGACUUUAGAGAAAGAAGAUAAAAAAAUGAAGAGUAUGAGGGAACAGUUAAGAAAUGCAUGCAUUGAUCCAGCCCAUCUAAACUGUGACUAUAACAAAGUAGCACAAGCUGAGUGACUUAAUGCUACAUAAGUUUAUUGUCUGGCAGCUAUGGAGGUCAGAAAUCCUAAGAAGGAGGUGUUAGGAGUUCCAUUCCUUCUGGAAACCAUAGGAAAGGAUCCAUUUCCCUGCCUUUCCCAACCUCUGGAGGCUGUCAGCAUUCCUUGGCUCAUGGCCCUUUCCUCCAUCUUCAAGGUCAGCAGUGUAGCUGACCAGGAUGUCUGCUUCCAUCAUGUGUCAUUCUUUCUCCUUCUGCUUCUACUAUCACAUCCCUUUCUCUGAUCUUGACUCUCUUUCUCUCUUUCUUUUCUCCUAUGGGUACCCGUUGGUGAGCAUUGAGCUUACCAAGAUAAAACAGGAAAGUCUACCUAUCUCAAUAUUUUUAAUUUAAUCACAUCUGAAAAGUCCCUUUUUUCCUGUAAGAUAACAUAUUCAAGGAUUCCAGGGACUAGGUUGUGUCACCUUUGGUGGCCCACUCUUUUUUUUUUUUUUUUGCUACAAUGGGAAAUAAUAACUAAAGAGGGAAUAACCUUUGUUUUUUAAUCUGAGAGAAGAGGUUUUAAAUUUAGAAUUCCUCUGAGUUACCUUAAUAGGAUGAUUGAGAAAAAAAAAAGUUCACACCUGGGUACUUCAUCAUGAAUUUUUAGGAAGAUGAGGGGAUAGAGGUGGCACAGGUCUCUGGCAGAGGAAUGAGAUUGAAUGCAGUAUGCAAAAGAGAAAUAGAAGACUUCUUUCAAGUCUUGAGCGGAAAUUAUCUUGACUUAAAAAUGAUUCCAUUAGCCAACAUUUUAGGUAUGAAAAUUUAAAAUAAAUUUUAAUGUAUAAGAAAGUUAACCUCCCUUGAACUUAUUCUGAGGAAGUACAAUGUGAAAUGUACUCUGGUCACAAGAAAAUAAAAACCAAAAGGAAAAUAAGGACUUCCCCAAACCACAGAACUAAGUCAGUACUACAGUGCAAAGAAAUUCUAUGCCAUGAAUAUGAUGAUUAAAUAAUAAGAAAUCUAUUAAAACUUACCAGAUUAAUAAAUUGAAGACUUUAAGAAGUUUCAACACCCAUUUAUCCUUAGCCUUGACUUCAUGGAUGAAUACAGUCUUAUCAUGAUGAUAUGUAAAUGUUUCAGUCCUAAAGUCAGUGAUUUACUUAAUGUAGAAAUACUAAAAACAUUCAUACUAAGGUCAGAAACAAACCAAUAUAUAUAUUUUUUUACUUCUACUAUUACUUAACACACUGCCAAUGUGAUCAUAUAUAAAAACUAGAGGCUUAAUAAAGAGUAGAAGUAUUCUCUGUUUGCAGAUGACAAUACGAUGUACCUGGAAGACUCUAGUGAAUAUUUUUCAAAACUACCCCAGAGAAUAAAAGAAUUCUAAAAGACAGCAAACAGGUUGUAAAAUCAGCAUAUCAAUAGACUUCAUGUUUUAUAUGAUUUUCAUAUAUGAAGUUAAAAAUUAAAAUAAAUCUUACCAGGCAUUCACAACGAAGACAGAAGGCUCUUGGGAAAGUUUCUUAGUAGUAUAGUAACUUCUCCUCUGUCCACGGGGAAAAAAAGCCAUAAACUGUGGAGAUGGAAUAGUGUCUUCUUUAGGAGACAGUGAAGUAAAAGCUGUAGCAAAACAGCCCUCAUCCUAAAUACAAGGUUACAUUAGAAUCUAAAGUCGGUUAUAUCAUGAGGGUAACCAUUGCAACACUAACCCUCAGUCCCAGCCCAGCCCACCUCCUGACUCAAUUAAUAAACAUCUACAUUAAAGACCCAACAGAAGAAAAAGUGGGCUCACUUCCAAGCAUGAAAAUUAUUUACAUCAAUCUCUACUAUCUAAUGUCUGUUACCAAAAAAAAAAAAAAAAGCUGGUCACGGUGAUGCACACCUGUAAUCCCAGUGGCUCAUGAGGCUGAGACAGGAUGAUCAAGAGUUCAAAGCCAGUCUCAGCAAUGGCAAGGUGCUAAGCAACUCAUUAAGACAUGUCUCUAAAUAAAAUACAAAAUAUGCUGGAUUUUAGCUCAGUGGUGGAGUGCUUGCCUGGCACAUGUGAGGCACUGAGUUCAAUCCUCAGCACCCCAUUAAAAUAUUUUUAAAAAAUUAAAAACAAAUAUAAGCCUUAUGAAAAAGUAAGACACUGGAAUUAUCAGGUGAGAAAUUUAAAAUAAUAAUCAUAAAUAUGCUUAUGACUCUAAAGGAAAAUGUGGGAAUAUGCAAAAUCUGAGGGAUAAUUUCAGCAGAGAGUUGGAAAUGAUUCGAAGGAACUGAAUGGAGAUACUAGCAAUGAAAAACUGAGAAAAGAUGAGAAAUGCCUUCAACAGCUCAUUAGUAGACAGUCAAGACAAGAAUUGAGGUCAAUUUGAAGAUAAGCCAAUAGAAACCCAAAAAGAAAAAAUAAAAAAAAGAGUAAAAAUCCCCCCAAAAAAAGUGCAUCCAAGGGUUCUGGAGCAAUACUAAAUGGUAUUACACAUUAUUUAAAUCUCAAGAAGAGAAAGGAAAAAAGAAAAAUGUAUUUGAGAAAUAUUAUUUUUUUCUGUUUCAAAUUUUAUUUAACAUCCUCCCAUUAUUUAUUUUAUUUUAUUUUAUUUAUUUGUGUUUGGGGUGUUUGUUUUAUAUUGUUUUGUUUUUUUGCAGAGCUGGGGAUCAAGUCCAGGUGCUGGGCAUGGAACCCAGGACCUUUUGCAUGCUAAGCAAGUGCUCUACAAUUGAGCUUCAACCUUAGCCUGUUUUUUUUUUUAAUUGACAUAUAAAAACUGCACAUGUUCAUAGGGCAUAGUGUAAUAAUUCAAUACAUGUGUACAAUAUAUAUUGUUCAAAUCGGGGUAGUUAGCACUUCCCUUUCCUGAAACAUUUAUCAAAUCCUUUGUGUUGAAAACCUUCUAACUCCUCUCUUCUCAUUUUUUAUAAAAAUGUGUAUUCAAAACUAUUGUAAUGUUUUGGAAUUAAUUUUUAUGUUUGCUCCUUAGGAUUGUAAAAUUUUGGAUAAAGAAUAUAUUACAGAUAUAUAUACACACACACACACAUAUACAUAUAUAGACAUAGAUAUAGAUAUCUAUCUCCAAGAAUUAAACCCAGGGGUGCUAAAUUGCUAAGACUGGCACUCGCUUUGAAUUUGCCAUCCUCCUGCCUCAUCCUCCCCAGCUGCUGGGAUUACAGGCAUACACCAUUGCACUUACAGAUGGGUUUGAACUGUAAGCAUCCUGCUGUGUUGUAGAAUACUGGGACUCGUUCCUCCCAUGUGAUUGUAUAUUGGUACCCAUUAACUGACCUCUCUCCCCAACCUUUCCUAACCUCUGCUGAUCACAAUUCUACAUUGAUUUUUAAAAUAUUCUCCAAAUUUUUAUUAGAAUGUACUCUCUAUAUAUAUCAGCUGGGAUUACAGACAUGCACCACCACACCUGGCUAAGAAAUAUAGUUUUUUAAAAAAGAAUUUGUCCCUAUUUUCAGAUGAUAUAUUUAUAUAUGUAGAAAAGUCCAAAGUAUCUAUGAAAAAAAUUCUAGAAUUGAGCAUUAUUGAUAAAGUAUUUAUCUAGAGUACAAAAUACAAGUUCAAUAUACAAAAUCAAUUUUGUUUACUUUCUGUACACCAGCAAUGGACAAUUAGAAUUUAGGAUUUUUAAAUUAUUAUUUAAAAGAGAAAAAAGGUACUUAGAUCUAAAUCUACCCAAAUACAUACAUCAUUUGAACCCUAAAAGCUAUAAAAAUAAGUGAAAUAAUAAAUGAAGACCUAAAUAGAGUUUUGAACAAUAUACAUUGAUCGGAAGACCUAAUAAUGUUAGGCUUACAAUUCUCUACAAAUUUAAUUAUAGGUUGAACGAAAUACCAAUCAAAUAUUCAGCACAUUUUAUUAUAUAGAUAUUGACAAACUGAUUCUACAAUUGAAUGUACAUGUAAAGUUACUUUAUUAGUAAACAACUUUGUGAAAUACAAGCAAGAUUAGAGAAUUUACAUUUCAUGAACUUAAGACUUUAAAUGCCACAGUGAUUAAGAUAGUACAGCAUUAGAAUAAAGAUAGAAAGUAGAUCGAUUUUAGAGAAUAGAUUGUCCAAAAGUAGGCCCAUACAUAUAUGAUCAAUUGUUAUCUGACAAAGUUAACAGGGAUGUUCAGUGGAGAAAGGAUAGUUCUCGAAACAAAUGGUGUUUGAACAAUUCACUCCUCAUAUGAAAAAAUGCACUUUGAUCCAUAGAUUUUACCUUACAAAAGAAAAUUAACCCUGAAAGGACCACAGACUUAAAUGUGAAACAAAAAACUUUGAACCUUACAGAAGAAAGUGCAGGGAUAGAUCUUUAUUAUCUUGGGUUAGCCAAAGAUUUCCUACACAUGACAAUAAAAUUAUGACUCAUCAAAGAACAAAUUGAGAUUACCAGCUUGGCUUCUAGCAAACUGCCUGAGGAGCUCCACUGGCCCACACCUCAAUGAAAAUGAAAAUUAUUCAAAAAAAAUUAUCAAAAGUGGAAGUGAUCAUAAUGACAAACACCAAACACAGAUCCAUCUAUCCCAAAAUUUUGGACUUUUGGUGAUAAGGGCAAGAGCCUAUGAUAUUUGAGACAAGAUUUCAUCCAUUUUCUGCUUUCUGGAGUCUCCAUUCCAGUCUGCUAAAGUCUAGAAAGACAUUAUGUCCCACACCUGCAGCUCUAGAGCCCUGUUCAAAAUUUCAUCUUGUAUGAGAAGCGAGUUCUAAAACAGACAUCUCCCAAUCUCUUCUCAAAGAAACUUAUUUCACUUGCAAAAAUGAAAUAUGGAGAAGUUCAAACCUAAGGACACACUCAAGAAUAGUGGAGGUUGUGGGAGAGAGGAAGUGAAGAAGAGAUUCAUGAAUUUAAUGAACAUAAAGCCUAUACUGUAAGAUGGCUGAUUUGUAUAGAGAACUGAGGAAUAAAAACAAAGAAAACAUCAAGAGCUGGGGUUGUGUCUCAGUGGUAGAGCACUUGCCUUGCACAUGUGAGGCACUGGGUUUGAUCCUCAACACCACAUAUAAAUAAAUAAAGAUAUUGUGUCUAUCUACAAUUAAAAAAUUUUUUUAAUCAAAUAUGAGCUCAGGAAAAAAAAAUCAAACAUGGAUCUUAGAAACUAGCCCUUCAAAGGAAUUACAAUUUAAUUGGACUUGUUUGCAGAGACAUCAAUACCCCAGGGGAUUUUUUUGAAACAAUAGAACAAUAAUCCAUCAAUCAAUGGAGUAUAGUAGCUGGACAUGGUCACAUAGAAAGAGAAUCCAAAGAAUGUCAAAUUAUAAAGAAAGAAGAAAAAAAAAUCUCUAUUUGCAAGUUAUAAGAAAUUAUAUGUGCAUAACCCCAAGGAAUCCACUAAAAUUUUAUUAGCUCCACUAAAAUUUUAUUAGCACUAAUAAAUGAGUUUAGUAAUGUUGAAAGAUGCUCAAAAAUAAAUUAUAUUUCUGUAUACUUUUAAUGAAUAAUCCAACAAUGAAAUUAAUAAAACAAUUUAAUCAUCAAAAUUCUCAGAGAAUAAAUACUUAGGAGUAAGCUUAACAAAAGCAAUGCAAAACUUGCAUUCUGAAAGUUAUAAAAUAUUCUUCAGUGAAAAUUUAAAAAGACAUAAGUAAAUGGAAAAACAUCCCAUGUUUUACUUACCAAGAAACUUGUCAUUGUUAAGAUGAAAUAUUUCCCAAAUUGAUCUACAGACACAACUCAAGCCCCAACAGCAACUGAUUUCUUUAUAGAAAUUGACAAACUGAGUCUAAUAUUCACAUGGAAUUAAGAGGUAUCCAGAGUAGUCAGAACAAUCCUGAAAGUUUAAGUAGGACAAUUUAUACUUCUCAGUGUCAAACUUACUAUAAAGCAAAGUAAUCAAGAAAGUGUAAUGUUAGUAAAAAGUUUAGACAUAAACAGAUCAAUGUAAUAGAACUGAGAGACCAAGAAUAAACCUAUACAAUCAAUUAAAUAUCCCUUUAUUUGAUGUUUCUAAAAGGGUAUUGAGACCAUCCAAUAGAGGAAGAAUAGUCUUUUGAACAAAUGAUGCUGUGAAGAUUGGCUAGUCACAUACAAAAAAUGAUGUUAGACUUCAAAUUAUUCACCUUACAUUAUGUAUUUUGUAUAUAAUGUGCUUCACAUUAUAUGCAAAAGUUAACUCCAAGUGAGAUCAAGGACCUAAAUCUAAAUUUAGAGCUAAAACUUAAGAACUAUUUUUUUAAAAAAAAACAUAACAGUAAUAUUUCAAGACCCUUAUUUGUCCAAGGAUUCUGAGAUGUGACACAAAAAAAAAACACGAGAAAGAAAAGAAAAAGUAGAAAAAUUGCAUGUUUUUAAAAUAAAAAUAAAACUAUUGGGCUUCAAAGAACACCACUGAGACAACAAAAGAUAACACACAGAAUGAAAGAAAAUAUUUGCUCUCUAAUAUGAGAACAUAUGAGAGAAAAUGAUAUAUUUGAUAAGGACUUGGCAUCUAGAAUACAAAAAGAACAUUUGUAACUUAGUAAUAAAAAGGGAAAUAACACUAUUUAAAAUGGAAAAAGGAUAUGAAUAGAGGAGUCUUCAAGGAAGAUAUCCAAAUGGCCAACGAACAAGUGUAAAGAGACUCGACAUCAUAGUAAUUAGGGAAAUGACUGGGAAAAAAUACUAAUUACCAAAGUAUACACAAUAAGAAAGAGUCUUAAAGAAAUUUUAUCAGUAAGCAAAAAUCUUUCCAUGAAGAAACACAAAGCUAUAAUGGCUUUCUUGGCAGGUUCUAUCAUAUAUUUAAGGAAAAAAAAUAAUGGCCAAUCUUGUACAAAUUGUUCAGGGUAUACUUAUCAUAGCAUUUUGUGGGUCCAGAAUAGAAUUGGUAUAAAAAUAUGACAGAAGCAAUUUGAAAAUUACAAUUUAUAGGUCAAUUAUACCCAUGAACAUAAAUGUAAAAGUCAAAAUAAAAUUCAGCAAUAUAUAAUAAAGGCAUAAUAUGUCAUUAUCAAUUUGAGUUUAUACCAGGAAUGUAAGGAUUAACACUAUAAAUUAAUGUACUUUGUUAUAUUAACAUUAAAUUAUUUAAGAUUACAUAGCAUUAUUACAUAGUACAUAAAAUUUUUAAAAAAUAAUAAAAAUUAUUUUAAGUGAUGCAGAAUAAGCAUUUGAAAAAAAUUUAAUAUCCCUUUAUGAAAAAGCAUUUUAUCACACUAGGAAUCAAGGAGAACAUCCUUAAUCUAAUAAAGAGUAUCUAUAAAAGAACUCUGGUCAAUAUAUUUAGUGGUAAAAAGAGACAAAUGCUACUUUGGGAACUAAGAUGAGACAAUGAUGACACAGAUCAUGUGCUUGCCUACACAAAAAACUAUAGGUAAAUUAUAAAAAUAAGUAAAAUUGUUCAUUGAGCUUGAUUUUAAGUAGUCAAUAGGCAAAAAUCAACUUAAAUAUAUAAGAAUAAAAUUUUAUGAUAAUAUAUAUAGAAUUUUUUAAAGAUACAAAUAUAAAAAGCAUAAAAAAUGAAGGUAGUAUCAUCAGAAAGGUUUCAAAUAGAAAGCCCAUAUCAAAUUCCCUUACAAAGAUACCAACUGAACAAUAUUCAAUCCACACUGCCUGUAUGAGAACUCCCCGAACAUUCACAGCACCCCAGGCAAGCUCAAAACUAAACACAGCAGGUGUGUAAAACUUUUUCAUGGGUGAUGGUUGUUCCUUCAAGCUAGUAAUCCAAUUUUCUCCUGGGGCAACCAAUACAAAAUGAACAACCAACCCAUGGCUUCUCCUUUCAGAGAAAAACAGAAGUGUGGAACACACUGACAAAUUUUCAGCUUUGGAGGAAACUGCCAGAGAAAUUAUUUUCUGUUUAAUCUGACUGCUAACUUCUGAAGGAACUGGCAUAUCUGGGGGCAAUUGAAAACAAGCUCAGUGCUUACUGCAAUGCCAGAGGACCUGCAGUACUGAUCACACAUACUAGAGGGAGCAAAAAAUUACAAGGCUGUGAAAAACCACAAAAUCUCUCUCCCUGGGAAUUGUACACACAAGCCCAGAAAAGGUGUAUCACCAGAAAAGGUGUAACAGGCUCCUGAAAUUACUAGUUGGGCUUUUUGGUAAAGAUCUUUCAGUAUAAGUCCAUUCAUGAACACUAGAGAGUUGGCUGUUUUUUCAAGCGUAUAAACCUGAGGAAAAAGGAAUAACAAGGCAUAUAAAAAAAAAAUAAAAUAAAUAAAAAACAGGGAAACAUGGCCCAAUAAAAGGAAUAAAAUGUUCUCCAGAAACUGACCCUUAAAUAAAGAUAUCACGAAUGACCUAAAAUAAUAAUAAUCUGAAAGAAGUUCACUGUGUUAUAAAAGAACACAGAAAAACAACUAAACAAAUUCACAAAGAACACAGAAAAACAACUAAACAAAGUCAAAAUGAUGUACGAACAAAUUGAGAAAAACAUCAAAGAACUACAAACUAUAAGCAAGAACUAAAUAGGAAUUUUAGAACUAUAUAAUAUAAUAAUUGAAUUAUAAAAUUUACUAUAAACGUUCAAAAACUGACUUGGUCAAGCAGAAGAAUCAGUGAUGCUGGGGCUGGGGUUGUGGCUCAGUGGUAGAGCACGCACCUUGCAUAUGUGAGGAGGCACUGGGUUUGAUCCCCAGCACCACAUAAAAAUAAAUAAAGGUAUUGUUUCCACCUACAACUAAAAAAAUAUUUUAAAAAAUCAGUGAUGUUGAAGAUAGGUCAUUUGAGGUUAUUGAGUAAGAAGAACAAAAGGAAUAAAGAAAAGUGAAAAGAAACCAAGAGAUUUGUGGGAUAUGAUCAGGAAAAUGAAUAUACAUAUUAUAGAUGUUUUAGAAGAAGAAAAGAAAGGGGUAGAGAGACUAUUUGAAGAAAUAAUGACUGAAAACUCCCCAAGUUUGAAGUGGCAAUAUAUUCAAAUUCAAGAAGCUCAAAGGAUUCCAGUUAGAAUAAAACCAAAGAGGCCUACACCAAGACACAUUAUAAGCAACCGUAAAAAUCAAAGACAAAAAAACAGCAAGAAAAAGCAACUUGUAAGAUACAAGGUAGCUCCCAAAAGAUUAUCUAUGAUUUCUGAAAAGAAACAUUAUAUGCCAGAAAAGACUAGGAUAUUAUAUUUAAACUGUCAAAAGAAAAAAAAAAUCAGCCAGUAAGGAAUACUAAGUCAGGAAAAUUAUAUUUCAAAAAUCAAGAAUAAAAGUCUUCCUAAAUAAAGAAAAGCUGUAGGAGUUAUCAACACUAAACCUGUCUCAUAAAUAUUGUUAAAGGGAAAAGCUAGACAGUAACAACACAAAAGCAUACAAAAACAUGAAACUCUCUGGUAAAGAUGUAGAAAAUACAGAAUCCUGUAAUACUAUAAUGGUAGUAUAUAAAUAAUUUUUAAUUCUGGCAUAAAAUAUAAGAUAUAAUAACAUAAAAAUAGCUAUAACUAUAAAACUAUGUUGAUGGAUACAAAAUAUAAAAGCAUGUAGUUUGUAACACCAAUAACAAAGUGAGGGGGUGUAAGUAGUAGGUAAAAUUUUGGCAGGCAAUUGAAAUUAAGUUUUUAUUAAUUUAAAAUAGGUUGUUAUAAUUAUGUUUUAUUUAAUGACUGUGGUAACUAAAAAAUAUCUGUAUAAGAAUCACAUGAGAAACAAGAAAGGAAUCAAAAUAUGUUACUACAAAAAAUUAAUGAAGCAGAAAGGAAUACCACAUGAGAGAGCGGGAACAAGUAACUAAACACAAGACCAUAAACAAAAUGGCAUUAGUAAGUCUUUCCUAUUAGUAAUUACUUUACUAAGUAAAGUUGGCAGUUAUGUUAAAGUUGGGUCCAUACUAGUUAGACCCAACACACAAAUACAGAACACUCUAUUCAACUCUAGAAAAAUACAAAUUCUUCUCAAGCUCAUGUGGAACAUUCUUUAGAAUAAAUCAUAUGUCCGGCCACAAAGUCUUAAAAACUUUAAGAAUACUGAAAUCAAACCAAUCAUCUUUUCUGACCAUAGUGGAUUGAAACUAGAAGGGAUAGCAAAAGGAAAACUGGAAAAUCACAAAUAUGUGAAGAAAUUAAACAAUAGACUUUUGAGCAGUUAAAAUGGAUCAGAUUUGGCAAUAGUUUCCUGGAUAUGAUACAAAAGGCAUAUGUAAUAAGGGUAAAAAUAGACAAAUGGGACUAGAUCAAUGGGAGACAAUAUUUGAAAAUCACAUAUCUGAUGAAGAGUUAAUAUCCAUAAUACAUAAAGACCUACGAUUCAACAAUAACAAAACAACACCUGAUUUAUUUAUUUUUCUUUUAAUUUUUAUUUGUUCUUUUCAGCUAUAUAUAUGACAGAAGAGUGUAUUUUGACAUUUUAUACAUACAUGGAGUAUAAAUUAUUCUAGUUAGGAUUCCAUUUUUGCAGUUGUGUAUGAUGUGGAAUGUCACUGGUUGUGUGUUCAUAUAUGUACAUAGGAAAGUUAUGUCUGAUUCAUUUUACUCUUUCCUAUUCCCAUCCCAGCCCUUUCCUUCAUUCCCCUUUGUUUAAUCCAAUGAACUCCUAUUCUUCCUUCCCCACCCCCUUAUUUUGUGUCAGCAUUCACAUAUCAAAGAAAACAUUUGGCCUUUGAUUUUUUGGGGGGAUUGGCUUAUUUCACUUAGCGUGGUAGUCUCCAGUUCCAUUCAGAACUGGCAAAUGCCAUAAUUUCAUUCUUUAUGGCUGAGUAAUAUCUCAUUGUGUAUAUAUACCACAUUUUCUUAAUCCAUUCAUCUGUUGAAGGGCACCUAGGUUAGUUCCAUAGUUUAGCUAUUGUGAAUUGAGCUGCUGUAAAACAUUGAUGUGGCUGUGUUGAUUUUAAGUCCUUUGGGUAUAUACCAAGGAGUGGGAUAACUGGGUCAAAUGGUGGUUCCAUUCCAAGUAAAACAUUUGAUUUAAAAAACAAAACAAAACAAAACAAUAAAGAGCUUGAACAGAUAUUUCUUCAAAGAAGAUACAUAUAAAUGGCCAAAACACACACACACACAAACAACAACAACAACAACAAAAGCCCACAGAUGGAUGCUCAGCAUCACCAAUCAUCAGGGAGAUUCAAAUCAAAACCACCAUGAAAUACUACCUCAGAACCCCUAGGAGGGCUGCAAUUAAAAGAAAAAGCACAGCAAAUAGCAAAAGUUAUUGAGAAUAUGGGGAAGCUGAAACCCCUGUGUGCUGUUGGUAGGAAUGUAAAAUGUUGAAGCUGCUAUGGAGGAUAAUAUGGACAUUACUCAAAAAAUUAAAAAUAGAAUUAUAUUAAGAUCUAGCAAUCUCAUGUGUGGGUACAAAUCCAAAAGUUCUGAAAACAGAAUCUUGACGAGAUUUUUUUGCACACUCAUGUUUUAUUGCAGCAUUAUUUACAUAGACAAGAAGUGGACACAACCUAUAUGUCCUUGGGUGGACAAAUUGAUAAGCAAAAUGUGGCAUAUAGAGAAAUGAAAUAUUAUCCCUUCCUGACAAAAAAAAAAGGAAACCUUUUCUUAUGCUACAACAUGCUUAAAUCUUGAGCGCAGUAUGAUAAGUGAAAUAAGCUAGUUACAAAAAGACCAAUACUACAUGCUUCCACUUACAUGUGUAGUCAAGCCCUUAGAGACAGGAAGUAGGAUGGCAGGGAUGGAGCGUGGGGUGGAGAUUGCUGUUCAGUGGGUCCAGAGUUUCAGUUGCAAGAUGAAAUGUUCUAGAGACCUGUUCUACGGCAACUUGCAUAUAAUUUAUAGUAUAGAACCAAACAGAUAAAAUGGGAAAUUUGAUGUUGUUUUUAUCACAAUUUAAAAAAUCAAGUCCCUGGGAUAUUUGUGCAACAUGGGAAAGGAUGAAAAUACAAUUUAAAAAAUACUAAGAGACCUAUAUAUCUAGGGGAAUUAAUUAUGGAUCGGAAGCCUCCGUAUAUCUCCAAAUUUUGAUCCAUAGAUUUCAUAUAACAGUUUCAGCACUUUUUUCCCCUUUUUCGUGAAACUUAAGAAACUCACUCUAAAUUGUAUAUGGAAAUGCUGUUUUAGUCCCCAAUGCUGCUACAACAGAAACCACAGACUGACUAAUUUAUAAUGAGCAGAAAUUUAUUUGGCUAAUAGUUCUAGUGGCUGGGAACUCUAAGACUGAGGAGAGACACGUUUGGUGAGGGUCUUCUUGCUGAGUCACACUACGGCAGAAGUCAUCACCUAGGGGAGAGAGACAGGGAAGGGGCAAACUCAUCCUUUUAUCAGGAACCUAUAUCAGCAAUAACUAACCCACUCCUCUGAUAAUGGACAGAGCCCUCAUGACCCGAUGGCCUCUCCAAGGUCCUACUUCUCAACAGUGCUGCCUUAGAAAUUGUUCCCAACACACAAACUUGGGGAGACACAUUCAAAACACAGCAAAUUCCAAGACCAAAAAUAGCCAAGAUGUUCUUUUUUUUUUUAGUUGUAGUUGGACACAAUAUCUUUAAUUUAUUUAUUUUUAUGUGGUGAUAAGAAUCGAACCCAGGGCCUUGCACAUGCUAGGUGAGUGCUCUACCACUGAGCCACAACCCCAGCCCCCAAGAUGUUCUUGAGGACAUAUUGGAAGAAAGUGGUAAGACUUGUUCUACCAGUUUUUAAACUUAUUCUAAAACUGUAAUCAUCCACACAAUCGGUCAUUGGAAGACAAUCUACAUAAUUUGCAAGACCCAUGCAAAAUGGAAAUGCAGUGCUCCUUGCUCAAAAAUUAUUAAAAAGAUCAACAGAGGAACAUUGAAGACAAGGCCCUUGUGAGCAUGGGGUCCUACGUGGCUCUGCAUUUCAUGUGGUUGUGAAUUUGGCCAGGGUUAUUGGUUCAAACAUUGUCUUGAAAUGUAGAAACAAACUAAUGAAUCAGAACAGGGAGCCCAGAAACGGUCCCCAAAGCACAGACUCAUUAGAUAUAUGACAAAAACUCACACCACAGAACAAUAGGGUAGGAUAGUCUUUAUAAUCGAUGGUAAGAGGACACGUAGUUGUCCAAGUAAACACAUGAUAGACUUAAAAACAGGAAAAUUCCUUAAAAAGGAAGGAAACUGAGACGCUUGUUGCAACGUAAAUGAACCUUGGAGAGCCAUUGCUAGAAAUAAAACAGAUGCAAAAGGGAAAAUAUGAUAUGAUUCCUUGUUAUACCUGUUAUACAUUCCUGUUAUACAUGACACCAAGAUGCCUAGAAACUCCUAGAAAUAGAAAGAAGAAUGGUGGUUGCCAAUAGCGGGGAAGAGGGAGAAAUAGGGAAUUAGUGUUUAAUGAGUACAGAAUUCCAAUUUAGAAAGUGCUGGAAAUGGAUAGUGGUGAAGGAUGCAUGGCAAUUUGAAUAAACUUAAUGCCACUGAAUUGUACCCUUGAAAAUGGCUAAAUGGUAAAUUUUAUGUUAGUAACUUUUACCACAGUUUUUAAAAAGAUGAAAAGCAAAAAAAUAUAGCUGCAGAAUAAAGAAAAAUAGCUUUAUAAUCUUAGUAUCAUCAAAGAUAUCUUUAAAAUAUCCAAAAAGGACUAACAGUGAGAUGUGUGAUAAUCUUGAUUCAUUAGAAUUAAGAAACACUUCUUCAUUAAAUGACUUAUCAAAAGAGUGAAAAGUUAAGUCACAGAGUGGGAUGUUUGCCGGGCAUGUAAUGGCAAAGGGCUCAUGUCCAGAAUAUAUAAAGCACACCUAAAAAUCAAUAAGAUAGAACAGUGAGUAAAAUAGAAAAAUGGCUGUCGAUCAAUUUUGUGUUGCUGUAACGAAACACCAUGGACUAGAUAAUUUAUAAGAAUAGAAAUUUAUUUUCCCAUAGUUCAAGAGACUGGGAAGUCUAAGAUCAAUGUGCCAGCAUCUGGCAGGAGGCUUCUUGCUACGUUAUGGACAUGGUGGAAGACAUCACAUAGCAGAAGAGCAAAGAGGAGGUAAAAGAGAGAGAGAGCAAGAGGGGCCAAACUCCCUCCACCCCUUUUUAAUGAACCCACUCCUGCAAUAAGAGAAUUAAUUCAUUGACUCUGCCCUCCUGGCCUUCUCUCCUCUCAGGGAGUCCCAUCUCUCAACACUGUUGCAUUGGGGAUUAAGUUUCCAACACAUGCUUUUUGCAGGGACACAUUCAAACCGAAACAAUGGACAAAAUGUUUGAACAGGUACCUCAGAAGAGAAGAUAUCCAAAUAGCCAGUAAACAUGUAAAUGUUCCUUAACCAUUUGCAACUUACAAAUUUAAAUCAUGAUCUGUUAUGGUUUAGACAGGAGGUGUCCCCCAAAAGCUCACGUGUGAGUCAAUGUAAGAAUUUUUGGAGGCUAAAUCACAGGGUUAUGAGAACCUUAAUCUAAUCAGUACAUUAACCCACUUGAAUGGAUUAACUGAAUGGUAACUGUAGGCAGGUAGGGUGUGGCUGGAGGAGGUUAUUGAGGGUGAACCUGUGGGGUAUAUAUUUUGUCCCUACACAGAAGGCUCUGAACCAGUCAACUGAGUCAGAUCUAAUGCUUCUAGAGUUCUCUGCUUCCCGUAUCCUGAGCUGCUUUCCUCCUCCAUACCAUUCCAUCAUGGUGUUCUGCCUCAUCCUGGGCCCAGAGCAACAGAGUUACCCAUCUAUGAACUGAGGCCUCUGAAAUUGUGAGCCCCGAUUAACUUUUCCUCCUCUAAAAUUGUUCUUGUCUGGUCUUUUGGUCACUGUGGUAAAAAAGUGAACUAUUACACCACCAGAUAGCUCCAUGCACUACGAGACUAACAGUACCAAGUGAUGAAAGUCUUAGAAGUCACAAAAACUGCUGAUGGUAUAAUCACUUAGGAAAAUGAUGUAGUAUCUAUUAAAGCUGAAGAUACACAUGCUAGGAGCCUUCAAUUCCACUAGUAGGUACAAACUUCCUCGUGUGUGUGUGUGUGUAUGUGUGUGUGUGUGUGUUGGUCAAAUAUAUAUACCUACAAAUAUUUUUGUCAACAAGUUUAUAUUAAUAUUCUGUUACUGUAUUAAAUACCUGAGAUAAUCAACUGAUAAAUAUGAAAGGUUUGUUUUGGCAGUUUUAAUCCAUAUUUAAAUCAUAGGCCUUUGGGGUCUAUGGCUUAUGGCAGAAAUGGGUGACAAAGGAAACCUUUUACCUCCUGGCUUGGGAUGAAAGAGAACAGAGGAAGGGGCAGAGUCCUACUAUCUCUUUUGAGGGGCACAUCCCCAAUGACUGAAAGACUUUCACUAAGUUCCACCACUUCCCAAUAAUCCCAAGUGGAGUUCUAAGUCUUUAAUACAUGGGCUUUCAGGGGACACUCAAAAUCCAAACUAUGCUAAGUUCCUGAUAGGUCCGCUAGGAGCUAAAGAUAUGUAUCCCUCCAAAAUUCCUAUGCUGAAAUUCUAAUUCUCCAGGUGGUAGUAUUUGGAAAUGGGGCAUUUGGAAGGUGAGUAGGUCAUGAAGAUGGAGACCUCAUGUGGGAUUAAUGACUUUAUAAGAAGAGACACACUAAAACUUGCUUCCUUUUCCUCUCUUUCCUCCUUGUGAGGACACAGUGAGAAGGCAGCCAUUUGCAACUUGGAACAUAGUUGGUUCACCAGGAACCAACUAUGCUGGCACCCGGAUCUCAGACAUCCAGUCUCCAGAACUGUGAAAAAUAAGUGAUUGUGAUUUAAGCCCCCUAGUCUAUGGUUAUUUUGUUAUAAAAACUCAAACCAACUAAGAAAGCCUUGAAAUAAAAAAAAAAAAAAAAAACAACAACAACACAAAAAAACCAAAGCAUCCAUCAAUUGUGGGAUGGACUAAAAAUUGCAUAUUCAGACAAUAGAUUUUAUAUUGCCCAGGAAUUACAGAUGCAUACAGCAACACAGUUAAAUCUUAGUACCAUGAAAUUGAAAGAAAAAAGCCAGAUCUAAAGCCAUGUGUUCAACAGCAUGAUUCCAUUUCUGAACAUGGCACCAACCUGCAGACAUGCCCUUAUGGUGAAAGGAUCCUUGCUUGUGUGGUGAACUAUACAGCAGCUUAAGGAAGUGCUGACUGGGACUGCCAGCUGGUGGAGAUGGGGGAAAAGGAACUGCAAGGGAUGAGGUAUGAUUUGGAUGAAGCUGCGUGGUGGCUAUACAGGUGCUUGCUUUGUGAUAACUUGCUAGGCUAAAUGUUUAUAUUUGAGCAUAGAGGUCAGAGCAACUGUAAAAACCCUUUUGUGUCAUUUUGCUGAAAAAGGAAGGUUGCUAGAGGGGGAAGUGGAGAUGAGGGGUUCCCUCCUGGUUCUUUCAUGUAUUUAAUAACAUCUUUCUCUGUCCCUAACACCCUUGACCCCAAAUUCUUAUUUAGGAGCUUGUGCAGGGAAAGGAGAGGGCCCUUCCUCACCAUGUGUCCCCUUUUUCUGCUUUUGCAGCCAGACAGGGCCUCUGCCCUACACGGAAGGCUCUGAACCAGUCAACUGAGUCAGAUCUAAUGCUUCUCAUUAUAGGGCAUGCUUUCCUACUUCUUUGUGUGCCUGCUUGCUUUCAUUGGUUGCUGGAUAUUGUGCAUGUUACCUUGUUGGAUGCUAGAUAUUUUUUUUUUUUGAAUUCUUAUAAAGAUUCUUUAUCUUUCUUGUGAGAUGCAGUGAAUUUACUUAGAAACUCUUUGGUCAUGUUAAUAUGUUAGGAGGUUUUGGAGGAGUGCUCAGCCUUGGGCUAAGUCCAGGCUGCCCAAUGAGUGUUGGGCUAAUACCCGGUGAAGCAGGAAGUGUCCAGUCUGGCAUGAGGGAGCUUACAAAGGCAUCUGAACCAGCCAUUGUCCUUUAUUCCCUAGGGUGGUUUUGCCCUGACCUCAGGCUGUUUCUUUCUAUGCAAGUGGCACUGAAUACUCAGGGACCUCUACAGAUCUCCAGGGAUGACUCUUGCCAGUUCUGCUUCUGUCUUGAAAACUCUAGUCACAUUGGUCUCCCUGGACUCUCAGUCCUGUUAUGUCUACCCAGGGAGUCCACUUAUUCUUCAGAACCUCCUCCUUCACUCUGUAGCCUGUUCAUGCUCUGUGAGGGCAGAGGGCCAGAGCCCUGGUGGGGCUCACUCUGUCCAUUUCCCAUCUCCCAGGACCACCGUCCUUCUUGUUUUGAUAAUCUAUUGUUCACUUAUCGUGGCUGGUUGUGUUGCUUGCUUCAGAGGUAGGAAAGGAAAAUCUGGUCCUUGCUACUCCAUCUUAGUGGAAGUAAGGAGAAGAUUGGUUUAAAUGUGGGAGUCAUGAUGACAUGGUCCAUUCAUGGGAGCACUCUGGUAAGAAUGAAAAAUUGAUAGUGCAAAAGAGAGGAAGGAGAACACACAAGUCAUGUCCUUGACAGAGGCAAAGGCAGGAUUGGGGAGAGCAGUGACAGGGGGCAGGACCACUGGUUCUCAGGAAAGAAGCCUUUGGCCACAGACAGGGGCAGGCAGAGGUCUUGAAAUUUCUCUGUGAGUACAGAGUUAGUUGACUGGGGAAUCCUUCAUGAUGCCCAUGGAAAGCUUGUGGCCCCAUGCCAGGAGGGCUGGGCGUGAGCCCAGUUCAUACUGGUCUAUUUCUGGCCUGAGGCAGCUGCACGUGUCUAGGUAGGAUUCUCAAGUCCUGCCUUAUAACUGCCAAAGAAAUGGGGUCCCCUGGAUCCACCCAACUGAAGUCACCUUCAUAACACUCAUUUUCAAAUGUGCUCAGUUCCAUGCAAAUCUAUCCAACCAGGCUUGCUGGCCUUCUCAGGGCCUGGCAUCUCCACAGCCUUGGUUCUACAGCCCUCUUUCUUUAAAACAGGCCUGAGAACUGCCCUUUUGUUUGGGAAAAGCCAGAAACACUCAACAAGCCUCUGUCCUGAAAUCCUCAAGAACAAUGUAUCUGUUUCGACUGAGGAACAAGAGCCUCUGUCUAGAAAAUCCAAGUGACCUUGGCAACAAUGCUGCCCGCAGCAUAUUCAAGUGGACAGCUCAGGCUCCCUGCCUUCUCCCUUCCACACAGUCCUCCAGCCUCUCAGUACACUGUGGGGCUGUCUGUGUAGAAGCCAGAGGACAGCCCCACAUGGAUAUCUGGCCUCACUGACUGGUUGAGGCUCAGUGUUUCUACAAGACACAGGACAGAGGCAAGCUCAACUCCCAGUUCCUCCUCUCCCUGGACAAAUGUGUCUUCAUGACCCGUCUUUUUAGAUCACAAAGGAGGUCCAGUCAAUCUGUGAUGGACCAAGACAGCCAUUCUCUGGGGGUCCUUCUCUGUUGGAGCACAACACCGGACCCAAGAACAUUAGUCUUUCUUUUUUCCUCCAUCACUGGCCUUUGGAAGGGGACAGGAGGAGUGUCCAGAUUCAUCUCCUUCUUCUUGUCUAUUCCCAGAGGCAAAAGCAGCAUGGGUGAUGGGUCUUUAACAAACCAGUCCCAGGGUCAGUUCCCUGGCCUCUAUGGGCAGUCCAUGCUCGACUCUGUUCUACUGAAGGUCUCCAAUGAGGAUAUCUGUCCACCUGCAGGCUUAGACUGCAGCAUCUUUAUGGGCCCUGUGGACACACCCACACUGAGAGCUCAGCCCUGAGAGCUCUUCCCGAGCCUUUGUUUGGAUGCAGUCCCACCCCUGUGUGGACCAGCAUUAGCUGGCAUCUCCAGCCUCUGUGCCGUGGAAGUAGGUCCCAGGCCAGUCCCUGGCAGCCAAAGCCAACCUCCAGCCACUCUUGCUUCUCCUGUGGAAGGUUCUGUAUGCCUCACUCUGGCUUUUGACUGACCUCUAUCAUUUGGAGUCUCCUAGCCCCAGACCACCAGGGUAUAUCACUUUUCACAACUCUUUCACUUUCAUAUGCAGGCAAGAUUAUGUAGGCACUAAGGGAAGCUGGAGGGAGAAUGGGCAGGUGCUACUCCAGAGAUUACCAUCUGGAGGAGGAUAAAGACUCAUCAUCAUCCUCACCAUUGAAGUAAUCAUUCAGGCAACAUUGAUGAUGGGAGGGUCCUGUGUGCUGGGCUCAUGGCUUUGCAUGCUUUGCCUCAUCUCCACUGGCAGCUCAAUAUACUCAUUCUACAGAUGGAGAAUGUGCUUAAAGAGCUGAAGUGACUUACUUAGCUCACAUUGCUGGACAUGUAACUGCGGACAUGGUAAGAUGCUAGAUCAGUGACAGUGAGAGAAGAGGGACUUUCUGGCUGGGUAGACUGGGUAGGUGCACAGAGGAGGUGUCAUUGAGCUGGGCCCAGGGGACAGGGAGGACUUGGACAGAAGACAGGGAAGAAGGACAGAGAAUCAACAGUGCAGACAAAGGGAGGUAUGAAUAAGCAUGCUUGCCUCAGAUGGAGCAAGUGCUUGGAAAGCAGGGGAGGCUGCGUAGAGGAGGGUGGAGUGAGAUAGGCUUACAACUGGGUCAUGCAGUUAAUCCCUCAGUGUCUCAGAGGCAUGGAAGGACUUCUGAGUUAGAAAGUAUCAUGCUUGGAGCUACCCUGGUUCCAAAGGGCUGGACCUUUGCAAAUCAAAAACAGGUUUGUUAUUGAGUCAGUCACUAGGAGUACACAGUGAGAACAGACUUUUGGAGGUCCACUUCUUCUCUCAGCCCUGCACACUGGGCAGCUGCCCACUCCUCCCUGCCCCCUGCCACAACCCCUGCCAUGCUGACCAACUGUGGUUUUUUCUCAGCCUGCCUGGUUCCCACCCCACUCGACUGAGCAGCAGCCCCCUGCGUCCUUCCUGAGCAGGCGUCCACCCUCACUGCUGUGUCUAGACAACAAACACAACUAGUGCUGGGUGGGAGGGAGCAGGAAGGGACACAGUGGGGGGCAGGGUGACUGGCCAGAACUACAUCUGAAAUCUUCUUCAAAACCACAGUCAGGGCGGGCUUGUCGGAAAAUAUUCCUUCCUUGAGACAUUGCAGUUCUGCCUCCUUGAAUCACCCAGCCGCUUCCUUCCUGUGUGUAUCUUACGCACGCUAGGACGGGGCAGGCUCAGUGUGUAUGUUUUUGUUUCUUUUAAGUUUUUGUCUAUGUUUUGUUGCUUUGGUGAGUUGCAGGCUAUGAGGGCGGGAUUACUUCUGAGAAGAGUUUGUCACUGUGCAGGAUCCUGGAUAUGGCUCAGGCUUUGUCUGCAAGAUAAAAAUCUUUGUGCAGAUCAGAAGGAGGAAGGGUUCUCAGCACUGUUAGGACCUUUCCCAUGUGAUGAUGUGUUUUAUCUCAACACAACCUGAAGAGGUGGCUCAGGUUCCUUUAUAGGUAAGACUUUUAAGGAUCAGGGAGGCUUGAGAGCUGGCCAAGGUUUUCUGCCUCAGGAGCCUGAGUCCUUUCCUGCAGACAAUGUCAACACGCCCCCCAGUGUCUGUGGCAGGCGAGGGCACUCUCUGCUAGAGAUCUUUUUACCCUGUGCUAAAAAUGUCUACCAGCCUAUUUCCUGACAAGCCAAGGGACUUUUGGCUGCUACUUUUUCUUUCUCUUGAAGUAAACAGAGUAAGAGAGCUGUACAAACUUCUUCGACUGUGACUCACAGGAAAUGAUACAAGCGACAUGGCCACCCCAUACACAUGUGCGUAUAUGUGUAUAAGCACAUGCAUGUCUGGAUGUGUGUAUAUAAUCAUGAGUAUGUAUCUAUAACUGAUAUCAUUUUCAUAACAGAAUACUUACUCUUACGUGUGACAAAUCCAUCCUUCAGGUACUGUAGGUGUUUGUAUGUAUGUGUGUCUAUAUAGAUGUCUGUACAUAUAUACAGUCUCCAACUUACUUGACUUAUGAUUUUUUAACUUCAUAAUUGUGUGAAAGUGAUAUGCAUUCAGUAGAGACCAUACUCUGAGUUUUGGAUUUUGAUUUGGUUCUUUUCCCAGGCUGGUGAUAUGUAGUAUGAUUCUCUCUCGCUGAGGCUGGAAUAGUGACAGCAAACCACAGUUCUCAGUCAUGAGAUCACCAGGGAAACAACCAACGCUUCAGCAGGCUGUGUUACUAAACAAGGAUGUUCUGUAGUUUAGGUGUGUUCAAUGCACUUUCCAUUUAUGACCCUUUUUGACUCACAAUGGUUUUAUGAGGAUGUAACCCCAUUGCAAAUUGAGGAGCAUCUAUACAUACAUAUAAAUGUGUAUUCAUAAACCAUACCAUUUUCAUUAAACCACACCCACUGAUGGUGUUACACUCUGUGUGUGAUACACUCCCAUUUCUACCCAUUGAUAGUCUUCCCAGACCUUAGUGGGUCACAAUCUGAAGCCUGGAAAACACUGAACAGGAAGAAAUUUUGUCUGGGGUUCCCCAAGAGUCCUGGCAUUUGGCCUGGACACCACUGUUCCACCUAGUCCAGCACAUGCAUGCAUGUGUUCCUGGAGGAAGAAAGGAGCACUUCUGUCACUAAGGUUUCUUAGGGGAUGAAAGGUUUUGGGGGACCCAGGUAUGAUGAGAGUUUGCCUCUCCAAGGAUGUGAGUUGGUGUGGCAGCAUAUUGCAUCUUAUUGAGUUUCUCUGAGCUCCCUGAACCCCUGUUUUCUCUAAACAUAGGGGAUAAUGAUAAUAACCCAUGUACAGUUGGAGGCUCCAUUCACAUCUUGACUCUUUGUGUGGCAGGAGGUGUCUAGGGUGGAUGUGCUCCUAAUUCAUAUUUGACCUUGAGGUUCUUACUCUCACAGCUCAGCAUGAGUGGGUGCAGGUGGCAGGAGUAGCAGAAGGCGGGGACCAAGGAGCUCUACGCACUACUCAGGUUGCCCCAGGGGGGUUUCCAGACUAAGAGGUUGUUCAAACAGGAGUGCUGGGGCUUGCUUCCUGUGGCUCUGAGGCCUCUUUACUCCAUGUUAUGUGGGAAGGUUACCCAUCUGGGGCCCAACAAGUGAGCCCUUUUUCAUAGUCACUAUCCUGGCAGGCGGUCACAGUGGGUAGGAAAGGAAGUAAUAUCCAGCCCACCACCCUCCUGGAGCUUGGGACACCAAGCUGCAGGGACUUGGCUGCCCCAUUCAAUCACAGCUUCAAGUGCCACCAUAAGGCUGAGUCCCCAGGUCCCUUAGGCAACCACUGUGGGAGUGGCUGCAAAGUACAGGCUGCUCAGGUGUUCACCUUCCCCAGGUGUGUGUGAGCCACCAGCCCUGUCCCUCAGGGUCCUCUGAGAUGGAUUCAUUUCCCCCUCGGCACUUUCAUGGAGUGUAGCCAAAAGUGAGAGAGAGUAGACAUUUAUCAUCUUUCCAUGGAAAGAUACUCCCUGGACCACAUUAGAGAUGACCCCAGCUGUUUAAUACUCCACAAAACUGCUGUGAGGUUUCACAUGGCCAUUUCUGGGAGCAGCUACCUGCCAGGGGACAGGGUCUCAAAGUGCCAGUUAUCCAAGUUGUCUAGGAUGGGCAAUGCAGUAGGACAGCUAGGUGCCUCUUUUUUUUUUUGUCAUGCCUCAUGCUGGGGUUUGCUUUGGUGGCCAUCUAACACAGUGAUGUGGUAAGCCCAUCCACAUUUUACCUGGCAGCUCUGCCUUCUAGACCUUGGGCUCUGUGGUUGAGCCUCUGAACCUGAAGUCUGCAUUGACUGUGAGCUGAGGCUGCUGGCCUGGGCUAGCCAGGGCUGUUCCCUAGACAGCAGAGAUGGUAUGCAGAGAGUGCUUGUGGGCAGAACCCACUGGAGGAGCCAGACCCUGGAGGCCCAGGACAGAGAAGCUACAUGUGUUCCCAGGGACCCAUGAGCCCUCACAUGGUGGGCUGUGGUCUCCUGUGGCUGAAGAAAUCCUUCUCCACCCAAGUUUACUUGACAGGAUCUCUAUUUCCCUAGCCUGCAGUGGGACAUGGGUCACAAGUUAUUCUUUCACAGGGCUGCAGAGGGGGCUCAAUUAGUUGACCUCUAGGUCACUCCGUAUCAGAGAAGGGGGCCCUAUAGUAGUCCUGGGGGCACCUCAUUUAUGCAUGUCCUAAGCCCCGGACCCACAGGAUAUGAGAUGAAAGGGGAAAAAGAUUGGAUACUAGAGGAAUGUUCAGGGGUAGCCCCCUCCCCCAACAGAAGAGCCUGUGUCUUUUUUCUCCCACACCAAGACCAAGUCAUUUUCUACUUUUUUUUUUUUUAACUAAAAGGUUGUUUUAGAGGAAAGGGUGCUUCCUUGAAUUCUAGCCUUCACUAAAUGAAGGCUUAAUUCUUCACUAGGUUUUGCAGCCAAAGGGCAUUUGGUAAUUGUAUUACUCAGGAUUUUUUCAUUUGUAAUUAUUUGACAAUAUACUUUGAAUUCAUCUAAACAGAAAGAGAAAAUGCAUUGGUGGUGUAACUGGGUCACACCUUCAGGCACCAUUGGAUCCAGGAGCUCAAGUUGCAUACUUAUUUCUCUCUCUCUCUCUCUCUCUCUCUCUCUCUCUCUCUCUCUCUCUCUCCCUCCCUCCCUCCCUCCCUCCUUCCCUUCCUCCCCCUCCCCCGCUUCCUCCCUCCCUCUCAUUUCUCUACAAUUCUGUUUAUCCCACUUCUUGGCUUUUUCCUGAGGCCAGCUCCCCCAUAUGUUGGCAAGAAGACUAUCAACAGCUCCAAGUUUAGGAAAACUAGAGAUUCCAGAGCACAAUGCUUAAAAGAAAGUCCUUGGGGUCUCCUUGAAUUGGUUCCCUUUGGGCCCUACCCUGAACUGAUUCCUGUGGCUGUGUAGCAGAGCUCUGGCUAGGCCUGGGUCCUGUGCCUACUGCUGUGCACGAAGGAGGUGUAUAUACCAAGGAGGAAAAGGGAAGUUGGUCAGACAGCCCCUGGCCUCUGCAGUGUACCCCCAUAUGAAAUUCUCUGCUUGCCUCAGUGAUGCAUGAAUUUCUAUUUGGGGCCUCACAGGGAGGAAAGAUGGUUUAUUUGAGGGUGACUUCAGUUAAUCUUAAUACUUCACAGAAAUCUUCUUCUCCAUAUCACCUCAAGGAGCACACACUAUUGUGACUUUUAAAAAGCGAAUUGGAAGGCUGUGCAAUUAUGCAGCUGACAGAUGACAUGGGCAAAGCCUCAGGCAGCCAACCUCCUGCCACCAGUCUGUUGGUAAUGGAGACUUCCAGCACUGAGCCCAUCUGGUUCUCCUCUUCUUCCAGGCCCUGGGAGAUGACACUCCUAGAAUCCUCACAGUAUGGUCAGGUGACAGAUUCUGGCAGUGUUGACUGGACCUCCUGUCACUUCCAGAGGGAGGCAUUUUCUUGCUAUCCUGGUUCUCCAGGCCUUCUCCUACCUCCCUGCCAGGGUGACCAUAUAGGAGAUCUUCUGUGGGGACACAGAAGAUAGAUGUGGGGGCAUACAACCGAGAAAGCUGUCUGCCACGAGGACAGCUGUUUUCCUGAGUUGGUCAGAUCUGAAGAGCACUGUGUGCAGGGGGAAGAUACACAUAGUUAAGCUCAGAUUUGGUGUUGUUUGUGGCUGCAACUUCUGUGGCCUUGCUAACACCUUCACAGUCUCUUAACCAAUUUGAAGCAUUUCCUGGCCCUGUGAUGGUCGCAGUCUACUCAUCCUCUCAGUUCCUUAUGAUCUGUGCCCCUACUGUCCUUCUUUGUUAGAUAUAUCUGGGUUGCCUGUUGGAGAUGCUAAUUUGAGAUUUUUUUUGGGGGGGGGAUAACUUAUUUUGUAAAUCAAACAAAAAUUGUAUAUAUUUAGAUAUACAACAUGACAUAUAUAUAAUGUGUUUAUGUAUGCAUAUAUAUGUGUGUGUAUAUAUACACACACACAUACAUACAUACACAUACAUACAUAUAUUGUGGAAAGGUUAAAUCAAGCUUUUUGAUAUAUCUAUUACCUUAUUCAUCUUUUUUGGAAUGUGUUUGAGUAAGAGCAAAAACCCUUAAAAUGUACUCUUUUAGUAGUUUGCAAGUAUGUAAUACAUUGUUAUCAACUAUGGUUACCAUGUUGCAGUAGUUAUCCUGAACUUAUUCCCCCUCAGUAACUGAAUUUUUGUAUCCUUUGGCCAGCAUCUCUCAUCCCUCUACAUCCUCUACCCCAACCGUCCUGAUGUUUUACCAGGUGACCUGGGUUAAUCUUGUUUAGCCAUCAGGUAGCCUUAUUUCCCACCAAACAUUCUCUUAUCCUUAAAUCAUAACCAAACUGAGCUUUCUCUGAGGAUUCCUCCCCUGGACCUGUCCUGUCCUGUCACCUGCAUAGGGCUUUGCUCCUUAUUUGCACUGGUGUGGACCACGCCAAUCCUUUAAAGUGCUCCUGAACCACUCUCCCAGCUUCCAGACCCGAUUCAUCUUGGCUUGGCAUCUGAGCUUGUCUUCCUCCCUAUAGACUGGGGGCUCCCGGAGGGUAGGUGAGAAAGCUGGGAGUCCAGCCUCUUCCCCCAAACCCACACAUACCUAUGGACUCUUCAUUUGCCCACUGAGCCCACUUUAGGAGAACCGGGCAGGCUUUAAUCUAUCAGAAAAGUCACGGUGGAAGACGGUGCCCCGCCCCAAUCUUUGGGGUAGGGGAGGAGCCUACAGCGCUUGGGUACAAAUAGUCUGCGGAGACCGAGGCAGCCUUUCGCAGUUCCCAGCAACAGCUCCGCCCCGUGGAGCCAGCGGAAAACGCGAGUCAAGGUCAUGGUGACCUGCCAGAGAGGGAGGCUGAGGGUGGGGGCCGGGCGGUGACUGCAGACCAACCCAGGAGUCGCCCAGUGCGGGUCCACCCGAGCCACUGCACUGCUUACUGCUCCACCCUCCAAAGCACGCUCUUCCUGCAACACCCAGCCUCAACUUUACCCAGGACUUUUUUAAACUUGGAAGCUGGCUAGAGGACCUUGAAUUUUAAAAAGGAGGUCUAUCAAUGAAAGAAAAAGUAAGGAGUAUUAGUGUAGGGUGAGUUGGCCACAGAAAACCUUUGAUGUUUUUUAUAUAGCUAUGGGACAGAGCAGCUAAUUCACAUGUAACACUACUGGCUGAACUCUUGUGGGUACUGAAAAGGGGCUGGUGGUGGUGGUGGUGGUGAUGAUGAUGAUGAUGACGACGACGACAAUGGCACAGUACCAAGGGCAUAUAUUAUUAUCCCAACAAUCUUUCUAAAUUGAGGAACACGUGCAGCACUCUAAAGCAUUUACCUCCUCUCAGCCUCAGAUUGCAUUUACUUUAGUAAACGGUUCCCAAACUAACUUAACAAUGCCAACAUUUAUUUUGCUCACAAAUCUGCAAAUUGUAUGGGACUUGGCUGGGGGAGCUGUCUUAAAGUCCCCACUUGCUCUCAGGAGUACUUCAGUCUUUCUCUGCCCUGGAUCACUGAAGCCUAUUUGGAAGUUUGGGAGUUGAUGAUGGGGUAGGGGCAGUUGUGCUGGCUGCCAGGAUCUGCAGAGCUACUCAGCAGUGGGUAAUUCUGCACCCUGAUGCUGGAGGGAGUCAGGGUCAGGAACAAAUGGCCCUGCUCAAGUUCUCCAAAAUCACUAAGCAGUUAAACUAGACAGGAGAAGGGUGGACUUAAGAGUGUGGUGAAUUGGUAAUCUAGCCUUUCUUCACAAUAUUAUUUCUUCACAAACUCCAGGAAGCCUGAAGCCCAGUGCCCUGGCUCAUGGAUACCGCCAGUCCAUGACCUGAUUUACACUCAGCCUCCAACAAACCCUGCUGGCCCCAGCAGAUGGAGAAAGACAUUUGGAAAGGUCCAGCUAGAUAUCUACAGCUGAGAGGGAAUCUGAGAGGGGAUCCUAGAUGCCCCACCCUUUGGCCUACAGGGUGAUGAGAAUAGGCCUUUGCUUUAUUUAUUUAAUUUUUUUUUUCCUUUGUGGUGAUGGGGAUCCAGGGUCUGGCACAUGCUUAGCAUGUGCUACACCCUCAGCCUGAGUAUUUUUAUUCUCAUCAAUUCAUUGAAUUUUGUUUUUAUCCUAAUGCAUGUGUUUCUUUUAAAACACAUUCCUCUCAUCUCAUUUCUGUUUUCCUAGCUUCUUAUGUUGAGCACUCAUCUUAUUUAUAGUCUUUCCUUUUUUCUUAGUAAUAAAAACAGGCUGGUGUUAUGUCCUGUAUAUUUUGCUCAGCAGUUUCAUCAUCAUUUCUGUCUAUGUGAUUGCAGUUUUUAUUUUCUCUGUGAGUGGACAUUUCUUAAGGAGAGUGAUUUUAAACUUCAAGAGGUUAGACUUGAAAAAUUGGUACAUUUAAAAAAUUUUCCUAGUUACUGACUUGUAGAUUUAUUGUACUGAGAUUUUAAUAUCUCAACAUGCUUUCUGCUUUGGGAUGUUUAUUGAGGUUUUCUCUAGGUAGUCAAUAUAUAAUCAAUUGUAUUAAUAUUGCUUAAGUGCUAGAAAACAGUCAAGUUUGAUAUUAAAUUUGAUGUAGAUGUGGUUCACAGGCUACAAGCCUUGACCACAAAAUAACAUGCAUGUUCUUGUUAUAAUAAAACAAUGAAGGCAUGAUGAGCUCCCUCUCCCCACCCAUUGCCAAGGGCACAGUCUUUCAGGGAAUAUAGUGCAUGGCCCUGUAGCAAUGGACAGACUCAAGUGCAUAUAGUCAGUUUUUGUUUUGUUGUUGUUGCUGUUGUUUUGUUUGGUUAUUGAGGAUUGAAUCUAGGGGUGUUCUACCAUGGAGCUACAUCCCCAGCUCUUUUUAUUUUUCAUUUUGAGACAGUGUCUCACUAAGUUAAUUAGGUUGGCCUGGAACUCGCGAUCCUCCUGCCUCAGACUCCUGAGUCUCUGGGAUCACAAGCAUGCACCACUGUCCCUAGCAAGGCAUAAAACCAGUUCAAAGCCACACUUUGUCACCUGGAUCAAGCAGAGCAUCCCAGGUUGGUUUCUAAGACUUUCCCUUCCAUAAUUAGGGGUGACCUCAGACUAUCACUUCAUGACUAGAAAUUUAUCACAGUGCAUAUUGAAUCAGCAGUAUUGAUUAUGUUAUUUAAGGUCUGUAUGUUCCUGUUGUGGUUUUGGGUUUUGGUUCUGGAGUUUGAACCUGGCGCACUUUACCACUGAGUCAUAUCUCCAAUCUCCUCUGCCUUUUAUUUUAUUUUUUAAAAUUUUGAGACAGGAUCUCUUGUUAAGUUUCUCAGGCUGGCUUUGAACUUGCAGUCCUCCUGCCUCAGCCUCCUGAGCAGCUGGGAUUAUAGGCAAACACCACCAUGUCUGACUCCUAUUGAUUUUUGAUAUACUGUUUCAGCUUCCUGUCACUAUGACAAAAUACCUGAGAUAAACAACUUAUACAGAUGAAAGAUUUAUUUUGAGUCACAGUUUCAGAGGUUUCUGUCCGUGAUCCCUUGGCCCUGUCACUUUGGGCCUAUGUCAAGGCAGCAUACCAUGGUGGGGCGGGGCGGUGGGGGGGGGGGGGAGAGAGAGAGAGAGAAGUGAGAGAAAAUAAAUUCCUUCCAGGGCACACCCCAGUGGCCUACUCCUUCUAACUGGGUUCCAACUCCCAGUAAUCCAUUUAGCUAUCAAAGGAUUCAUCCAUUUGGUGAAUUAUCAACUGAUGAGGUCAGUGCUCUCUUGGUCCAAUUUUGUCUAAAAGCACUGGGGACCAUGCUUUCAACAUAUGAGAUUUUGGAGGAAAUUCCAGAUCCAAACCAUAACAAUAUCAUAUUAUUGUUAGAAGCCCAAAGAUACAUUGUCAUAAUUUGUAUAUGAUCAUGCUUCACUUAAUGAUAGGGACAAUUCUGAGAAUGCAUCAUUAGGUGAUCAGAGAGUAUGCUUACACAAACCUAGAUGAUAUAGCACACCUAGGUUCUAUGGCAUAGUCCAUUGUGCCUAGCUUACAAAUCUGGAUAGCACAUUACUCUGCUGAAUAUGAUAGGCAAUUUUGACACAAUGGUAAAUAUUGGUGAAUCUAAACAUAGAAAAGGUAUAUAAAAAUACCAUAUAAAAAUAAAAAUGGCUGGGUGUGGUAGCGCAUGCCUGUAAUCCCACACCCAGGAGGCUGUGGCAGGAAGAUCACAAGUUCAUAGCCAGCCUUAGCAACUUAGCAAGAACCUGACUCAAAUGAAAAAAUAAAAAAGGACUGGAAUGUAGCUCAGUGGUUAAAUGCCCCUGGGUUCAAUCCUUGGUACAAAAAAAGAAAAUAAAAGAUUUAAAACAGUACACCUGUACCAGGCAUUUCCCAUGAUUGGGGUGGGCAGAACUGGAAAUUGUUCUGAGUGAGUCAGUGAGUUCUCCGAGUCAAUGUGGAGAAUUAGGACACCACUGUACCUAGCUUUAUAGAUGGCUUUAUAGAUGACAUGCACUUAUACUACACUAAAUUUACUUAAGCAUUUUUUUUUCAUUAAUAGUUUUCCUUAGCAUACUGGAACUUUUUGAAUUUUUAAUUAUAAACUUAAAAUUUUAAAAACUUUUUUGCAACAACUUGAAACAAACACAUUAAACCUUUUGUACAACCAUACAAAAUAUUUUCUUUCUUUCUAUCCUUAUUCUAUAAGCUUUUUCUAUUUUUAAAUUUAUCUUUUAUUUCUUUUUACUUUUUGAAACUUUUAUGUUAAGAAGUAAGACACAAACACACCCAGUAGCCUAGGCCUGCAAGUGUCAGGUUCAUCAACGCCUCUGUCUUCCACUCCACAUCCUGUCCCACUGGAAGGUCUCCUGGGGAGAUGAAAAACAUGGAACUGCCAUCUCCUAUGAUAACAAUACCACUUUUUAGAACACCCCCUGAAAGGGCCUGCCUGAGAUGGCUUUACAACUAACUUUUUUUUUUUUUCCCCAUGGUGCUGGGGAUUGAACCCAGGGACUUGUGCAUACAAGGAAGGCACUCUACCAACUGAGCUAUAUCCCCAGUCCCAAUUAAUUUGUUUUUAAUGAGUAGAAGUAGUAUAUGCUAAAAUAAUGACAAAUAUAGUAUUGUAAAUACAUAAACCAGUAACAUAGUCAUUUGAUAUCAUUAUCAAGUGUUAUGUCCUGCCCAUAUUUGAGUGUGCUAUCCUAUUAUGUGACGGGGCAGCAGCACCACACGUACCCAUGAGUAUUACAUAGCAUUAUGACAUUACAACAGCUAGGCUAUCUGUAGGUGUUAAGAAUUUUUUAGCUUCAUUAUAAUCUUAUGGCACCACUGUCAUAUAUGCAGCUCACCAUUGAGUGAAUGUCAUUGUACAGUACAGGACUGUAAUUUUAUGUCUUUAAUUAAUUGAAGAGAAGAAAGCAGGAAUAUAUUUGUAGCAUCUGUUACAUUAACUGUCCUGUUUAUCAUUUCUGUCUCUCUACAUUUGUUCCCACGUAUUCAAGUUACCAUCUUGUUAUGGUUUAGACAUGAGGUGCUCCCCAAAAGCUCAUGUGUAAGACAAGGCAACAAAGUUUAAAAGUGGAAUGAUUGCAUUAUGAGAGCUUUUACAUAAGCACUGGAUUAAUCUACUUGAGUAUUUUAACUGGCAGGUAGCAUGUGGCUUGAGGAGGCGGGUCACUAGGCGCUGCCUUUGGGGCCUGCAUUUUGUCCCUGGUAACUCUGCUUCCAGGAGCCAGGUCCUAUGCUGCUUUAUUUCCCCACCCCUUUCCACCAUGAUAUUCUGCCUCACCUCCAUCCCAGAGCAAUGGAAUUGGACUGAGACCGCUAAACCCUGAGUGACAAAUAAACUUUCCUCCUCUAAAAUUGUUUUUGUCAGGUGUUUUGGUCACAGCAACAAAAAACCUGACUAAAACACAUCUGGAAUCAUUUUCUUAUCCCAAUUCAGUUUUGCUGCCACUCACCUUUUCUGUGUAGUUAUUGGAAAAUAUUUUACAUUUCUAUGUUUAUAUGCCCAGCUAUAUGUUAUAUACAUAUUGUCUUCUAUAACUGUUUUUUGAAUUAGAAGAGAAAAAGUAUGCAUUUUGUAGUGUCUUUUACAGUUAUGCAAUAUGGUUACGUAAUUACCUAUACUGGAGGUGUGUGUGUGUGUGUGUGUGUAUGCUCUUUUUCUUUUGUGUGGGUGUGUAACAGGAACUGAACUCAGGGGCCCUUAACCUCUGAGCCAAAUCCCCAUCCCCUUUUUACAUUUCAUUUUGAGACAGGACCUCACUAAGUUGCUUAGGGCCUUGCUAAGUUGCUGAGGCUAGCAUUGAGCUCACAAACUCCUGCCUCAGCCUCCGAGCUGGUGAGAUUAUAGGCAUGCGCCACCAUGCCCAGCUGGGUGUGUGUUCUAAUUACCCUCUAAGGUUACUUGUUUCAGCCUGAACAACUUCCUGUUAGGGAGAGAGUAGAAUCUGUUAGCAACAAAAUCUGUCAGUUUUUGUGGGAAGCUUUAUUUGACCUUAAUAUUUGAAAUAUACUGGUAGCUUUGCUGGAUGUAAGACUCUUGGUUAAGUGUUUUUUUCUUUGAGCACUUGGAAUAUCAUCCCAUUGCCUUUUGGCCAUCAUUCUUUCUGAUGGAAAUUCAGCUACUGGGAACACUGGAGCUUCUUUGUAAGUUACAAGUUGUUUUCCUCUUGGUGUUAUCAAGAUUUUCUGUUGGUCUUUGGCUUUCAGCAUAUUUACUGUUUGUACUAUUGUAUAUAUUUGGGUUUGUGGCUCUCUUUGCAUUUAUCAGGCUUGGAGCUUGUUGAGCUUCCUGAGUGUGUAAUGUUUUUCAACCAAUUUACUAAUCAUUUCUUCAAGUAUUUUUCCUUCUCCAUUCUCUCUCCUCUCCUGUCAUUUUCAUUCUGUGAAUGUCAGUGUGCUUAUGGUGUCCCACAUAUCUCUCAGGCUCUGAUAACUUUUCUUCAUUUAUUUCCUUUUUGUUCUUUGGCUUGCAUACUCUCUGUUGAUUUAUCUUCAAGUUAGCUAAUUCUUUCUUCUGAUAGUUCAAAUGUACUGUCCAACCCAUUUAGCAAAACUUUAUUUUCCUUAUUGUACUCUCAAAUUCCAGGAUUUGCGUUUGAUUUAAAAAGUCUCACUUUAUGUUGAUAGUCUCUAUUUGAUGUAAUAUUCUUACAGUACAUUUUAUUUCUUUUCUUGUAAAUAAUUUUAUUUCAUUUCCAUUUGUUUGCUCCUAGUAUACAGAAAUAUCACUGAAAUUUGCAUAUUAGCUGGGCACAGUGGUGCUGGCCUGUAAUCCCAGAGACUCAGGAGGCUGGCGCAGGAUGAUGGCAAGUUGACACCAGCUGAGCAACUUAGCAAGACCUUGACUCAGUAAAACAAAAACAAAAUAAAAACAAAAAGGGUGAAGAUGUAGGUCAGUAGUAAAGCACUUGUGGGUUCAUUUCUCAGUACCACAAAAAGAAAAAUUGUGUAUCUGGGGGUUUUCUUUAAUUUACUAAGUUUAUUUUCAUAAAUUUAUUCCUAAUAUUCUCUUAUUAUACUUCUAAUAUCAGUUGGAUAUGUAAAAUAAUUUUUCUUUAAUUCCUGGUAGUAUUAAUUUUCUCCAUCAUUCUUUGCUUCUUCAGUCAUGGCUUUCUUUUAUUCUUUGAACGUAUUCUAAAGGCUACUUUGAAGUCUGCAAAAUCUGACACUGAGUCCCUCACAGACGGUCUUUUGCAUUUUUGCUGGUGUAUGGAUUUUGCUUUCCUGCUUCUUUUCAUGUUUCAUUAUUAUUUUGCUGGAAUACUUUAGAUAGUAUAUUGGAGCAAUUCUGGGUACUAGUCCCAACUCCCACAAAGGGCUUGUUAUUUUCUUGUUUAUUUGUAUAGUGAAUGGCUGGAUUGUUUUAGUGAAAUCUGUUCAUUCCUCCCCACCCCAACAUUUGCUGUUGCUCCUUAAGGCAGGAAUGGCCUGAGGUUUACACACAGUCACUGUGAGGACAGUGCUUUGGGCAGUCCCUUCUUCUCUCCAUGAGCUCACCUGGCUAUUAAGCUUCAUUAAUUGCUGGCCGGUUGCUGUGAUGCUCUUAACAAUGUCUUUGGGCUAAUUGCUCUACAGGUUAAUUCAAUCCAAUUUGAGCUCCUCAUGAAUGACUCUGGGGAUCAGUUUUGAUAUUUGCUCUGACCCCGGUAUCUCUUUAUCAGGUUCCCUGCUUUUCCUUCCCAAAUAAUCUCUGAGCCAUAACUGUUCAGUUGGAAGUAGGGCUGUUGGGUAACACCAGGUGACACCCCACUUUAGGAGCUGGGAACUUGGUGGGUAGGGGUGGGAAGUAGCUUCAGGUUUUCUCAUCCUGCCUCUGUUGAUUCUCACCAAUGACAUUCUGCCCAAGAUACAGCCUUCAUCCCAUGAAUGGUGGCAAGGGAGCCCCGCCUCCUAGUUACACUCACCUUGAGCCUCAGGCAGCUGGAGGCAGGAUAAGAGAUGCUAGGAACUUGCUGUAGCUCUCCAACUGGGAGCCCAGGAGCAAGGGAAUCUUGUGUUCUUGGUUGUUUUAAUCUGAAAUGGAGUUUCAAUCUGGUAAAGUUGGGAUCAAGGAGAGAGGUAGCAGAUCUUAGUUCAAGUACCAGACUCUUGCUUUUGCACUGAGUUACAAUAAGUUUUAGAUAUGAGUGAAUAAAUGAUUAAUUUUUUUGCUGUAUAUUUUAGAACCAUUACUAGAUGCUCUAAGGAGUCUUUUUUUCACCAGUUUCAUUGUUGUUAUAGUUUGGAGCUUGAGUGUUAAGCAUUGUGUUAAAGGCUUGGUCCCCAGGGUGGUGCUUUUGGGAGGUGGCAGGACCUUGAGGAGAGGCCUAGGGGUGGGGUCUUAGGUCACUGGGGACAUUCCCUUGAAGGAAACUUCAGGACCUUGGUGUCUUCUUCUUUCUGUCUUUUGGCUCCCUGUCUUGUGAUGUUAGUGGUUUUUCUCUGCCACAUGCUCCUUUCUUGAUGUGCUCUGUUACUAUUGACUUCAAGCAAUGGUGCUAAUAGACUGGUGCCUCUAAAACUUCAAGCUAAAGUCAACCUUGUCUCUUUAUAAGUUAACUAUCUUCUCAGGUUUUUCAUUACAACCAUGGGAAGCUGACCAACACAACUGGUGUGGGUCUAAGGAGCAACUCAUGCUGUCAUGCCUGAAGUCCCUCUCCUUUUUCCUACUGUAAACUUUUAAUGCUGUAAAUUUCCCACUCAGCACUGCUUUAGCUGCAUUUAGCUUAUUUGAUGUGCUGUGUUUUCAUUUUUUACUGCUCAGGGUUCUGCAGAGAAACAAAACCAAUGGAAUCUCUCUCUCUCUCUCUCUCUCUCUCUCUCUCUCUCUCUCCAUAUAAAAAUAUUACAUACGUAGAUGUAAUAUCAUUAUGGUAAUAUUAUGAGUAUUAGCUCACAUGGUUAUGGAGACUGAGAAGUCUCCAAAUACACCAACCAUAAGAUGGGGGUCAGAGAGCCAGUGGUGUCGCUCAAAUGCCUGAGAGCUGGAGAGGUGAUGGUGCAGAUUCCAGUACAGGUCUGAAGGCUUGAGAAUCAGAAGCACUAAGGGUAGGAGAAGACCUAUCUAGCUCAAGCACUCACGCAAAGUUGAUCCAACCUUCCUCUAACUUUUUUUUCUAUUCAGGUCCUCACUGGAUUGAAUGAUGCCCCCCACAUUGAGAGAGUUACCUGUGUCAAGCAUCUAACAAUUCAAAUGCUACCUUCUUCCAGAAACAAUCUCAUGGACACACCCAGAAAUAAUGUCUAAUUACCUAUCUGGGCAUCCUGUGACCCAGGCAAGUUGACAUGUACCGUUAAUCUUCCUAAUUUUUGAUUGUUUGCAUAUCCUUUAAAAUUUUCUUUGAGAUUUCCUCUUCAAAACAUGAACUAUUUAGACUGAUAUUGUUUAGCUUUCAGUAUUUAUAGAUCUUCCUAUUGUGUUUUGGCAUUGAUUCUACUUUGAUUCCAUUUUGGUUUGAGAAUGUACGCUUUAUUAUUGUAUUCAAAAUUUUAAAAAUAGAUUUCUAAAGAGGAGAUAGUUCAUCUCACCAACUCUCUCACUAUUCAGAUGUACAAUAGACACAUGUUCUGUAGGAGGAAGUUCUAGAAGCAGAAGGUGGGAAGCAAGAGCCAUCACUGUGUUUCUUAAGAGUUUCCAGACCACCCUGGAUGAAGACAAAACCAUGAGUGAUGGGGCCCAGACCAUGCGUCUGGUUAUCCACGUAGAGCCAAAGUCCCAUCAGUCUCAGAAUAAGGCCACUCUACUGUUACAGUUUGCCAGACUACAGCUUGCUCAGCUUUGGGCACUAAGCAUGAAUAUGGGAGUAUUCAUGAGUAUUUGGAGGCAUCCAGCACAGGCUUCUAAAGAAGCAGAAGGUACCCAGGUUUCUUGCUGGAGCCUAUAGUUACCCAUUAUGACCACAAAUUCUGUCCACAGCAGACCUUGUCCUAGAGUAGCUUGGCCCUUGACAAGGAUGUGGAAUAAACAGAAGAUAGGCUCAGUUUCUGUGGCCAACUUUGAAUGGGAUAAAUCAGAGCUUGAGGAGUAAGAGAAUGAAUGUCUUAGUCUAUUUUUAGUUGCUAUAAUAUAAUGUGUGAGACUAAGUGAUUUAUAAAGAAUAGAGGUUUAUUUUGGCUGAUGGUUCUGGAGGCAGGGAAGUCCAAAGGUAUGGUGCCAGCAAGUGCUUAGCUUCUGGUAAGGGCCUUGCGUGGCUUCAACUCAUGGCACAGAAGCAGAAGGGCAAGCAGAUGGGUGCAAAAGAGACGAAACACAAAGACUGGCCUUUCUGUGUCACAACCUGCUCUUGUGCCAGCUAACCCAGUCCUGCAAGAACUGUAUUACUCCCUCUUAAUGAACUACUCGCCUCUGAAAAGUCCCCACCUUCCCAAAUCACCACAGUAGCAAAUUUCAACAUGAGUUUCAGAAGGGACGAAUUAUAUUCAAAUCAUAGCACAAGGGUGGAGAAGUCAUGCUUAAGCUGGGUUACUCUGUUCUUCUCUUAGGUGCAGGGAAUGCAGCUUCUUCCCACUCUCAUUCUUGGAAUAGUUGGUCCUCACCAGCCACAACUUGCCCCUUGUGCUGAAGGGUCAAUAGGGAGAUUGGACUUGGUGCUCCUCUGUUCCUCUUGGUCAGAUUUCAAACGAGCAAAGCCUCAUAGGAACCAACAUAGCCUCACUGGAUGACUGAGUUUUGUCCCAGCUCUCCUCUCCUAAUCCUCUCUAAGAAAAUGCUGGGUAUAGGUGUCCACAUGUCACUUCCUAGGGCAUGCUGGCCCUGAUUCUCUGCUCUCAGUGGAGCAUGCAAUUGAGGUCAGUAGCCUCAUGGCUGGUGUCUGCUCAGGAUGGACUUCUUGGUGACUGCUCACCUCCAUUCCUCAUGGCACCAGGAAUGUCACUCAAAUGUGCUUGCACACACAUGGCACAGUGAUUCCUUCUGUAGGGUUUCAUCCUGCAGAUGAUCUCAUAAUUGAGUCAAGACAAAUGAUAAGUUGUUCAUGACAGCAGUGCUUGUGACAAAAGUUAGGAAAUACUUGGUGCCCACCAAAUAGGGACAACUUCAGUAGAGUAUCCUUCAUUUUCCCAGUCUCGAGUGUCUGUUCCAGAAAACAGAAUGGAGCAGAUCAGGAUAUUCUGAUAUGUGCACAGUAUGCUCCUAUCUGUAUGAAAACCCUCCAUAAAUAUCCUCACACCUGCUCAUACACACCUAGGCAGCCAGAAAGACAGCGCACCACAGUCUGCAACUGCCUUGAGUGUGGGUGUCCAGACCCCACCUCCCUGCAUCAGCCUGUUUUCUUAGCUAAAUCACAUGCCAUUCCUUUGAAGCUGACUUUUCACAUCCUUCUAUUAUACAUGUUUUAAAACCAUUCAUAACUCUAUGAAAACAUUUCUUUGGAAAAAAAGUGAGCCUGGAAAGAAAGUGUGAAUUAUGAGUUCUGUUUUUCCUUAAAUGAUCCAUUUUCACCCAGACUUUGGCAAGUCAUUUUCAUGAGCCACUUAGGAAUUUCCUGUUUAUUUACUGUGGGUUCCAGACAAACCCAAACUCCUGCAUCUCACAGCCCAAUGAGCCCCAGCUUUGGCCCAAGGAGCUGUCUGGGCUAUGGCUAAGAGUGUGACUCACCUUGAACCUACUCUCCCCAACUUGCCCCUGCCUGCUGCAGGGUCACAAGCAUCUGCAUCUCAAGACUGAAGGGAAUUCCCAUAAUCUAUCUUUUGGUCAGAGAGGAGAGCUGUCAGGAUUUCUGCCUACAACUACAAGAUAUGUGGAAUUGGCCUCUUUUUCCUCCUAGAGCAUCAAAGACAAAGAUUCCAGGGGCAGCUAUGGAGGAAGAAAACAUGCUGUAUGCAGGGGCACAAGCAUGUGUGCACCCACCAACACACAGAUGCAGACAUGCUGGCAGAUGCAGACAUGUGGAGACAGGCACACACACACACACACACACAGAGAUAAUCACACAUGGUGACACUGAAAGAGACAGACAAAGGCACACACAUACACCUCUGUGCUCAGCAAGAGCUUCCAGGGCAUUUAAUUAAUUAAUUAAUUAAUUUUUUUGCAUUGCUGGGAAUUGAACCCAGGGCCUUGCACAUGGUAGGCAAGUAUUCUAUCACUUAGCUAAAUCCUCAGCCCCCCAGGGCAUUAAACUUCUUUAUUCUUCCUGUGGAGGCUGUCUGAGAGCCUGGUACUUGGCUGUCUUGCCUGGGAUUCAGGCCCUAAGGCACUUCACACCUCGGGCAGGUGUGAAGGUGGGCUUCUCCCUGCCUAUGUACCCUGUCUCAGAUACUAUUGGAAAGGUAAAUUCUCCACUGAUCAGCCCAUUCUUCAGAUAUGAGUCAUUUUCCAUGCCAGAGGGGAGGGGGCCUCAGUGCUCCAAGGCUGUGGGGGCUCCGAGGGGCUCUGACAAGUACAUAGCCCUUCUGAGCUCAGUGCCACUGGGCACCCUAGUAAUGCAUGUGUGGUCACCCACACUGUUGCAGUCGUGCUUACUGCUUCCUCUCACCUCCAACCCUGCAAAGCCCCCUCCCCAGCAGGCCUGUCAGGGCAGCUCAGGCCUCUCAUGCAGCGAAGGUGUUCUCUGAAGUCCUUUCCCUUUAUCCGGUCUUGCUUGCCCUCUCAUGAGAAGGCCCAUUUGAAGACACUGGGUCAUGAAUUCUUAGGAUGAAGUUUUCAAAAUGACUUAAUACCAACAUAAGCAGGGAGGGCCCAUCUUCUACCGUUGUGCCCAGAUAGUUGGUGAGAACACCAGCCAUUCAGGAGUCACCUAGGCUGGGGUAGCCAGAGAAAAUAGUGGAUGUUCAGUUAUCUGGAUUUCAGAUAAAAAUGCCAAAAUAUCAUUGAGAUAUUGCCUGGAACAUAUUUAUACUAACAAUUGUAUUCACUAUUUAUCAGAAAUUCAAAUUUAAUUGAGCAUUCGUUUUUUUUUGUUGUUGUUGUUGUUGUUGUUUUCAGAAUCAGGUCACCUAUGCAGAUCCAUACCUCUGAGGAUGAUUUUCUUCCAUGAAGUAGCUGAGCUGGGGGAGUCUAGGCAGCUUCCAAGCUUGGGAUGGAGACAUAUGUGCUUGCUUCCUCCAGGACCUCAACCUUGGUAAGGAAAUAUCUCCUAGUGUGCUCUCUCUCUAGUGCCACUUUCUAGUAUCAGAUUUUGCUUAGAGUGCACAAUAUGUCCCCCAGUAGUAGUGUCUUUCAUUCUAUCCCUUUGGAUUUGCCUCUGUAGUGCCCAUGAAACAUGUCUGAUGCACAUGUUCAUUCUACCCCUGGCUGAGUCUCCCUCACUAUACUAUGAGCUCACUGAGCAUGGGCCCUGCUUCAUCUCUUGCUCCCCUCCCUGUUUUUCUUCCAUCAACAAAUGUUCACUUCCAGCUGCAACAUAGAUAGGAGAUGAAUGGAGGGAGAAUAGAUCUAGCCCUGCUCUUAGGGACUCUUCAUGCUUGUGUAGAGGCUGGGCCCCACUGUGACUUUCAUGGGUCUGCAAUCAGUGCACAGGGUACUGUGCCUGGUCAGAUGAGGUCACAGAAGCUCUGCAGAAAUGCCAGCUUUCCUGGAGCUUCACUCUGAGCUGAUGUUGGGAGAGGGCAGCUCAGUACCACAGCAGGCUCUGAGGCUGCAGAUCCCUAGGAUCAAGCCAGCUGGUAAGCAGCAUUUCUUUUGGCCUUUCUCUUUUGCCCAAGUGGUCAUUUUAAAGCCACAAUUGGCCACCUGUGCAGCUGACAAGGCUGGGAUUGAAUCCAGGGCUAUUUGUUUCCAAAGCCCUUUGAGUGUGCCC
rnacentral:lncRNA from 1 species